AAUGAACAUCAUAAUGAUUCUUGAAUUCGAGUUAAUGAGUUAAUUAUUCUUUUCUUUUUUCUUGACUUUUGUGCCAUAAGACAGGUCCGAAGGACAGACAGGCGCAUUGAAUAGAUUAUGCUGAAGGAGGCUGAAUGCAAGAUUCGUUCUUCUUAUUUGCAAAAAGAAAGGUCCAGAUGACUGAUUUUUAUCCAAAAACAAAGGCGCAAUGAAAUAUGCCUUGAAUUGCCCAGCAAAGAAUAUUGCAAAAAGGACCACUAAAAACCGAUGUCAUUGACCCCCAUAUUAAGCUACGAAGGCCCAAAGAAUAUUGCGAGGCGAAGGUGCCAUAAGACAGGGAUAUUCUUGAUCAUGACCAAGAGAAUCUCCAGCUCUUGUCCCAGUAGCGGGCGACUUAGAAAGAGAAUAUGAGUCCACAGGUGGCACCUCCGCUUAGCCCGAUCCCCUCGUUUAAGGCGAUGGAGAAGAAUCAUGAUCCGAAUUGAAAGAGGUGAUUCCAGUGGUAUGAAAUAGGAAAUUGCCUUCUUUUAGAUCCACAGCGCCAUCUGGUAGAUUAGCUCAAUCCCUUGAAGUAGGGGCAUACCGCUACGUGGGGGUCCCAGAAUCCGGAUCAGUGUGAAUAAGGUUCUAUUUGUUGAGGUCCUCUGCGCAUACCCACUCCUAGGUGUGGAGGAUCGGUAUGCAUAUGCUCCAUGGUUCAUAAGUCUUGCAAAUACUAGCCUAUAUUCGCCCUAAACUUAGAUAGAAUUCCUCUUUGACCUCACCAAUGGCCUUGGCCUUCCUUCCCCGUCAUCCGAUGCGCCUGUUCUUGGGAUAGUUUGUCCCGCUACGUGGGUUUUGGGAAUUUAUCCGAUGACUGAUCAGCCAAGGGCUAGCGCUCCGUGGGAGUAGAGCAUUUCCGCCUCCGCGACUGCUCCUGGGACGAUUGAUUCCUUUUCAGCUGCCACCGCAACCCCCACGGAUUCCCCCGAUCCGACCCCUCCUCUAUCGUUUUUUAGUGGAAUAAGACUCCUUUCGCAAAUUCUUUGCGCCUAAGAAUAUUGCGGAAAUAUGCAUAGGUGAAAAGAAGAAGAAUAUUGACGAAAAGAAAAUUCGCUCAUUAACGCAAAGAUGCACAAAUGUCUAAUCUUUCAGACUCCGUAGGACCUACAAUUCUUUCUGCUCCACAUAUUAAGCUGCGACUAAGGGCGUCCUCUCCCCCUAUCGUGAGCCGCUUUCGCUCGUCUUGAGCCCGUAGUUAGGCGCAAAGAAAGAAAGCUAGGCGCAAAGUUCUAAUGGAUAGUCCGGAGGACGGAGGACGGAGGACGGAGGCGCAAUUCAAUAUGCGAAGGCGCAAUUCAAUAUGCCUUGAAUGAAUGAGAGGCGCAAAGAAUAUUGCGAAGGAGCAAAGAAUAUUGCGAGACGGGUCAAAGGUUCCUUAUCAAUUGAUUAGGUUCCCAAAAACAAAGGGCUAGAUGCGUCCUUCGGACGGAGCUCGAACCCUUCCGCGGGUGGUGCUCUGACCAAUUGAAAAGGAAUCCCAGUGUACAAGAUCUUGAUUUCAUUUCCUUUCAAACCUUUCUAUGUAGAUUUUUGAUGAUCAUUCUCAUAUUCUACCAGAUAGUAAUAGAGUAAUAGAUUGAUAUGCGCGGAGACAUCACAUCUACUUUAGUGUGAGAAGGAUGGAUUAAUAGUCAUUGAUUGAUAAUGAAUCAAGAGUUUUCUUUUAUUCUUUCAUAUCAAGUCAAGCAUUUCUCUAUCUGGCCAAGGCCUUGAGUAGUUAGUGCUCUUUCUAACUUCAAGCUAGAACUUGAAUAUCGACUUCCCAGAGUAGAGCGCGAUUGUAGAGGGAGCCGGAGUUAGUAAUUGCUACAAGAAAAGAGAUUAUGAACUUUUCAUUGAUUGCGCUCUUUAUUUCUUUUCAAAAAGUGGGCAGUCUAGUUCAAGGCAUAUUGAAUUGCGCCUUUCGCUUCUCUUUUAGAAUAGCUCAAUUCUUCUCAAAUUCUUUGAGCCUGGACCUUUCUUUUUGAGUCUCGCACAAGAUCCCUUUAUUUAUGGAUGUUCAUUGAGCCUUGUUCUUUCUCUUGAAGAAGUAGAAGUCGUCUGCUUCAGAGGAGACAAAAGAAAGGUGGAGGCGCAAAGAAUAUUGCGGAGCGGUGAGACCGAAGAGGAAGACUUCUCAAAAUCUCCUUUCAUAUCAAGUCUUUAUUAUAUUAGUAGGGGCGCAGUGGUAAGGCCGCUAUAAGAGGAGGUUCGAAUCCUUCCGUCCCAGUAAGUCAGACCGUUGCAGACUCCUCGGCAUGAGGAGUUAGUUGACCCCGAGUAGGAUUAGGAGCCGCUUUUUCCCGGUCAGAUCAAAUGGAUAGGCAAAUCCCUUGAAAAGGGAUCGAGAGAGUUCAGACUAUGCCAAUGGGUGAAAGGGGGCUAGGAUGGCUACCGACCCCACGGAGCGGGACUGACUUGGAAAGGUCUCUUCUCGCACUUAUCCAAGGACAACGUCCUCGCUCAAAGACUGAUUGCUUGUCUUCCUCGGGGGUGAAGUGAAAAAGAUCUAGUGCUUCCGAUUCGAUGAAUUUCUAUAGGUAAGAUAGAAGAAGAAAGGCAAGGCAUCAAAGUCAAGUCAGGUUCAAUCGACGUAACUGGUUCAAAUACCAGAAGCUAGGUUAUAGAAGAUAGAUUCGACAAUCAAAAGUAGGUCAGCCUUUUGCCGGGAUACGAGACUGUCAGCCUCAGCUAUAGCUUCUUCAAGAAUAUUGGAUUGGCAAGUCGGAGAGGUCUUAAUAGAAAGACCGUCAAAGAGCUGCUGAGUUGCCCACGUAGCGGGAAAGGGAAAGGUUAUCCAAUAAUAAACUACUCUGAGAACCUCUCACUCUACAACUCUCUUUCUUCUCCCAACUGGAACUAAGGCCCUAUCCUGUCCUGCCUGCCCUGUCCUCUGAAAUCCGUUACUUACGGAUGAGCUACUUUCUGCUGGAUGUUCCCCUUCGUAGUUAUUCGUGAUUAUUCAGGCAAAUCUUUCCUAUUUUUCUAAUGCAAGAGCUUUUUUCCUAUUCAACCUCAAUGUUAACCCUCUGACUUGCUGGUCGUCAAUAUUCUUUGAACCUUUUAUUUACAAUAGAGGCAUCAGUCUCAGUUUCCAAUCUUGCUAGUAGGACUAGGACUAAAAGGGGAAAGCUAUCACAAAGAGCAGCUCAACAGAUAGGGUAACUGAAAUCGGAAAGAUAGUAGCCUCAUCCGUUGUGGAAGAGGGAGCAUAAGAUCACAUAAAAAGAUAGGGAGGGGGCAAAGGAAGCAGCUCUUUCAUUCUCAGUUGCUACAUAAAAUAGGAUAAGUUCUCUCAAAUUCUUUGACCCCGUCUUCAAUCUACCAUUGAAUUUGAAUAAAGGUCCAGGUGACCUAGAAUAUCCCUGUCUUAUGGAGCCUCCUCCGGAUAUAAGGGGUCCUCGUCUUCAACAAGAUUUCCACCGCUGAUUUAUCAAGCUUAAUUGCGGGACUUCUUAAGGAAAUCUUUCUUACUCAUCUGGACAAAAGUAGGCGUUUUUGUCAGUCCGGAGCCUUUGUUUUUGGAGUCUUAUUCCGCAGGUCUUAAUGUUUCUGACUCACAUAUUAAGCUACGUAGGACGAGCAAACAAAAAGAAAGCGGAAAUCUGAGCAAUAUUCUUAGCGCCUUGAUCGCUAUCUUCUUUCAUGAUCUCUUGAGUAAGGCCUCUCGCCUGUCUUAACCUAAGCCCAUUAAGGAUAAGGAAGAGUCUAAGCCUACGGCUGGAUCGAAAGGAGUGAAGACAUAUCCCAGUUAAUUGAGUUCAAAGCCUUUAGCCUUUUCUUUGAGAUGACGAAGCUUUCCGAAGCUAAACUACUUCACAAGAAAAACUGAUCCUUCCCACUGCCUCUUUGUCCUACUCUCAUAAGAAAGGAUUGAUUCCAUUCCUUCUCGUUCAGCAUUUCGGAGUAUAAUGGGAAUAUGAGUAUAAGAUAUUGAUAAUCAGAGCUUUUCUGAAACUUAUGCUAUCUCUUGCUUCAUGGAGCAUUUCUUCGGGAACUGAUGAAAGAGAAAGGGAUGGUGGCUGGCCGAGCCUCGCGCGCCUCGUCCUCCUCGUGCGAGAUCUUUUCAAGGCACACCGGUCCAGUUGAGAUCGUACUGAUGACCCUGGAAGAGCUGCUUCCCAACCGACUCGACCCGAAGCUUGAAGCCAUGAGAUGACCUUACUCCUUUGAAUGCCUCCUUUUGAGUCCUCUAGGCACUCUUCUAUCUCCUUCUACGAAGUCGACUCAAUGAAUUCAGCCUUUCGAAUUUUGAAUACUCUUGAUAAAAAAAAGAGAAAAAGGGCAUUCUCCAUGAAUUCAGCCUUCUGACCUACCGCCCCCGUGGGAAAUAGAAGGGGAUAGACUAGCUUUCCAACUCUGUCUUAUCGUGAAAGAUCUGAUUCCUAUCAUCAUUUAUUGGAUUCGUCCAGUUCAACUGGGAAUACCGCUUGAUGUGAGAGAGCGAGAGCCACAGAAAAUCUGGAAGAGCAAGACCUAUUCUCCUGAGAAUUCCGAUUGAUCUUACACAGCUACUACUGAAAUUCCAGAACUGAUCUUUUCAUGUUAUGGGACUGUCAAUAUUCUUUGAACCUCUCCUGGUCUUGAUGACUAUGAGAAAAGAUUUCUAUGAAGAAACUGGGUGGGGCGUAAAGGGUUACCCAAAGGACUCAAUAUGGUCAGUCUAGCCAACGGAGAAAUUACCUUUUCUCAGAAGAUCGCCUGUAGGUCAAGCUGCUUUUCGUAAAACUAGGUCUGGGUGUGAGGCUUCUGGCAGCCACUCUCCUAUCCCUUAAUCACAAGGGGUAACGGAGAUCCGCAACGGGCUCGGGUCUCGCUUGGUGAACCCCAACUUCCCUACUUUUCAGUCAUUUACCUUCUUCAUUCCUCUUGUUAAGAGUUCAUCGGUUCGAAGGCUAAUAUAAGGAUAGGAGUUCUAGAAGGAGAGAGAAAAUGGACAAAACAAACCCACGUAGGGCAGACCUACGGCAAGGUUAUCAUAUGGACAGUCCUUCGGACUUCGGACGAGUCAAAUCAUGAAAUUACCUUUCUAUGUGCUAUGUGAAGUAGCAUCUCAUAAAUGGAAGGAAAAAACCCCUCCUUUUGAUAGGCUUUCUUCCUGAAAUUCAAGAUGAAGUACAACCUUCAGGCCAGGUUUUGAGGCUCCGAUAGGCUUUCCUUCUUUCAGUUUCUGGAGGUGCAAAGAAUAUUGCGAAGGCGCCAUAAGACAGGUCCUCCUUCCUUCCAUAUGGAUGGUCCUACUUCGGUUAAUUACGGAUGGUCCUACUUCGGUUAAUUACGGAUGGUCCUACGGAUAAAUCCUCCGGACUACUUCUAAUGGAUAGUCCUACGGAUAAAUCCUGCGGACUGCGGACUCCGGACUACUUCCUUCCAUAUGGAUGGUCCUACGGAUAAAUCCUCCGGACGUAGGAUAAAUCCUGCGGACUGCGGACUCCGGACGUAGGACCCUGGACCUUUCUUUGAUGGUCCUACGGAUAAAUCCUGCGGACUGCGGACGUAGGACGGGGGAGGUCCUUUAUGUCUUCUUUUUCUUCAUGAAAACUUUAUAUCCUCUUGAGCUUUCUUCUUUAUCUUCCAUUGCUCUUAUUCUACUCUAAAAUCAAGCUACAGAUGAGCGGAGCCAAGUUCGGACUGAUAUAAGCGGAGUCGUCUUCUUUGCGCUUGCACUCCUAUUCGCUUCGCUUCUUUCGCAAAUUCUUUGCGCCUAACGUCUGCUUUCAUUAUCGUUAAUGAGCACUUUCUAUUUCUUUCUCCCGUAGUUAGGAGUAUUAAGACCGGUCCGGAGGACUCAAGGAUUCCACUAAAUAUCGCCUCGCAAAUUCUUUGCGCCUUCGCAUAUUGAAUUGGGCCUCAGUCCUAUCCAUAUUAACCUGUCUGUCCUGAGGACGGGGGAUUUGAGGCGAAGGACUUGUUUAUCCAUUAGAAAAGGACCAUUUUCGACCGCUCCGCGUAAAAGAAAGCGGAAAUCUUCUUUGAACCUUUACAAGGUUCCCAUUAAAUUGAGGCGAAGGCGAAGGACUUGUUUAUAUCCUAAAAUCAAGGUCCAGGUGCAAAGAAUAUUGCGACCCUAUUUAUUGAGACCUUUUGACUUGUUUAUAGACAGAUCGAGCUACUAAAUCUGAGCGAGGAGAGUGAUUUCAUGCCUCAAGCGAAGGUUCUAAAGUGCUUGAAUGCGUAUCACGCUUUUUCCUGGUUCUAUUCACAAGUAAGAAGAAAUGGAUGAAAUAGCGGGAGAUUCUAUUACGUAAAUUAAGGUCGUAGAGUCAAUUCUGAGUUCUUGUCUCACUUUAAGGGAGAUGUUAUGGUAAUUUCAUGAAAGAUCUGAUUCAAGAGAUCAGGCUGCCAGCAACUGGGACUGAGGAUGAGGAUAGAGCCUCCUCAGCGACUGCUUAAACUUCCUCUUCCUUUGCUGUCGAAACUAAGACAAAGAGAUAGUCAAACCCAUUAUUUCUAAGAUUUCUUCCUCUCCCGCUACGUGGGCAACUGCUCAUUCAACCUAUCUUUCCGAAACUCCUUCCCCUGCGGCAACAGCCUUCCUCGUCCCGAUUCGUCUCCUUACAGCAUUCCUCUUCCUCUUCCUCUUCCUAUUUCUAUUCUCGUCGCAUAUUCCCUUCCAGGUGGUGGGGUUAUUUCAUUCCUCUUCGAGUCGAUCUACAGCAUUCCUCUGAAAAUCAGGAGGACGAGUCUUACAAUAUCCCUGUCUUAUGGAGCCUUCGCUCCUAAAUAAGUCGUAUCUGAGAAAGGGGUAGUAGAUUGAAUAAACUCUUUAGCUAGCUCCGUUCGGGAGAGGUGGGAAGCCGCAGUGUCUGUGAGUCUUGACUCAGACUGAGUUAUUAUUUCGUGGAAUCGGGACGAGGUGAACUAAGAUCGGUUCGGGUAAGACCUCACCCAGACUCUCUCAGUUGAAGCUGAAAUAGACUCAAGGGAACUGAAAAACCGCUACUCUUUCAUCAUCAUAAGAAGGAGAAAGAGAUCAAGGGCCUCACGAACAAUGAUUUGCGCGGAUCGGCUAUCAGGCCAGAAUCAGUCUUUUCUCGUCGUAGAGAAGGUUCCAUAAGACAGGGAUAUUGUAGUACAUUCUUGAGGUAAAUUCAGUCUCAGUCGCGGAGGGCAGCUAGGUAGGGGCACCCGCGAGAUCUUAAUCUGACCUUUGAGAGGAGGUUAUCAUAUCGAGACCACAUACUAAGAAAGAGAGGCUCUACCUUAUAUAUCUACUUAGAAAGAGCAGUUUCAUCCGUUGAAGAAGUGGCUGUCCUCGCUUUUCUUCUUCUUUCAGUAGCAGUGUCUGCCGUUGAAGAAUGAAGCAAAAAAAAAUAGGCGAAGAAGGUGAAAAGAAUAUUGACGCUAUUUCAUGAUUCUUGUACCCGUACCCCCAUGAAAAAAGUGAUUUGACCUCACACACAUUCAGACAAGAAGAAUCAGAGCUUUCUCAAAACUUCUCUUUCUAUUGUCUUUGAAGAAAGGAGAGAUCAGACUCCUUCUCCGGACUCCAAAGGAGGAGUGCAAGUGCAGGAAAACUACAACUUUGAAUGGACCGUACCUCUCUCAUUUGCUUAAGACAUGUGGAUUGUCGAAAUAAGCGCUACGUGGGCCGAUACCCGCUGACGAAGAAGGUUCUCUCUAAUUUGGAGAUUCGUCUCAUCUCAUUCCUCUGGGUCGAUCCUUUCCAUGCUAGGACGAGAACCAAAACAUCCUAUCUUAUACUUAGUUAUUAGAAUAAAGGUCUUGAAUGCGGGAUCCUUAAAGCGAAAGCGGCUCGACUGUAAGGAGAGGAGUUCUGCCAUUUCUUCAAUAAGUACUAGUUCCAGAAGCCAGGUAAGAGUGGCCGGUUAGAAGCUUGACCGAUUAGGGUCUGUUGCGGUUUCAGUGGGAGUUUCCUGUGUCGGAUGUCUGAGAUUAAGGCUGAAGGCCUGCUUUAUGUAUUUAUUUCCUCCCAACGUGGACCAUAUGUUAAAGGAUCGAAGGCAGCUUUCCCAUACUCCCAUAAAAGGAGCUCUUUCAAAAGGGAAAUAACGGGACUUUCUCAAGCGUCGAGGUUUCGGGGACGGUAGAAGUCUGUUGGGAUCUCGGUUAUGCAUUAGCAAAUUGGCUUUCCACUCUAGUAUUGAGAUCUUGAGUAAAUCAAUAUGGGCCUUAGAAUGAGAGAGAGAAUACCGCCUUGCUUCUGCGCCAGUGGGAGUGAUUGAUGAAUAUACGCAUGGGGAAUCAAGAGUUCUUUUCAGAUUCAUUAUAUAACCUUCUUUCUCGUUCCCAGAUUCAAGAGACUGCCGGAAGAAAGAAGAGUCCAAAGUCAGAUAAUCAGCCUACGCCAGAAGACGAUAGAGGAGGGGUAGGAUACUGAAACUCAAUCUCCUAUGCGACUCUUGUUUCAACCACUGAUCCUGGUGCAAGAGAAAGGGAUGGGACAACCUAAACAUAAGGAUACCUCCUUCGUCGGCCUCGUCUCGAUCCUGAGUUUGCAUGAUAAAGGGGUUCAACUGAAAUGGCUCCUUCUUUUUCUUACCUAGCAUCGGACAGCUAGAGAGGUAUGUCAAUCAAUCCCAUCUAAGAGAGAAGGAAGGCCGACGGCGGCCAUGGGAGAGUCACCUCUAUUAUCUCAUUUCUGCUGAUUGAGGGCUUCCCAACCGACCUAUGAGAUGAGGCUUUCGGCGUCUCAAGUUCUUAGUUCGAGAUGAUAGGGAAUCCUUGCUUUCAUUCUUUGAUUAUGAAGUUCAUAUACGAGAUUCAGAGAAUUCCUAAUCUGCCCCCUUUAAUGGAACAAGAGCGAGGACAUCUACAGCCACUGGUCGAACUAUUUCAUCCCUUUAUUCAUACCGAAGAACCUCUUAUUCAUUCAAGCCCCCCUACGCGUCUUAGUUCAUGAAAUAGGGUGGUAAACAGAUAAUGAAAGAGAAAUUCAAUCUUCUUUGAACCUCAUCAGAAAAGGUGGUCUUGCUUCUACAGCUACUUCAAGAGCUAGAACAAAAGCAAAGGGGCUAAAGAUGGAUUGAGUGGAAUUCCAAAUACGGCGGAGGACUCUGAAAUUUGAGUUUCAGGGCUAGCCCAUACGAUCACCAAUCGAUCGAUGACCAAUCGUUAAUAAAAUCUCGAAAAUAAAGAGAACUUGGAAGAAGGAAUUGGAACUAGAAGACGACUACUCGCGACUCCUCAAUUACUAAAGCCUAAGGAAUCGGGAAAGCCUUCUCCUUCACCCACUGAAAUAGGUCAAUCGAGAGGUCCGCCUCUUAGAAUGCGGCAACUGAGACUGAUCUAGAUCCCGAGAGUGGUCCUCUUCCUUUGUUGGGCGGGAGACUGAAAGUGAUAGCUUUCGAGUAGUCUUGGUCUUCCCUCCUUCCUUUUCUCUCUCUCUCCGCAAUAUUCUUUGCACCUGCGUAGUGGGCUCAAUUUCAUCCAGCCUCAAGAUCCUUCACUCAGUCUCAUGAAUAAUUUUGGAGUGGGUCUGGGGAGCUACUGGGUCCUCUCUUUUCCCGAUAGAGUGAACAUGCCGAUUAUAAUAGUGUGUACUUUUGACCCUGGUGAGACUCCCUUUUUUAUCUUUCUCAAGACUAUUAUUUCAGAGAAGAAAGAGAAGUCCUUAUUAAGCUGGUCCUCCUCCUUCAGCAUAAUAGAAUAGUAAAUAAAAGAAAAGAUGCGCAAAGAAGAAAAACAAGGGUGCAGAUAGGCUCGGCUUUCUAUUAAGGCGCAAAGAAGAAUAUUGCGAGAGCCUAACUACGCGGUCCGAAGGCUCCAUAAGACAGGGAUAUUGUAAGGGGCAGCUUUUUGAGAAGAAAGAAUGGCAUCCCCGGCUGCCAUUUUCACACCUUGCUCAAAGGUCACGCUUACACACUACGGGUGACGCAUGGCUGCAUCCGAAGGGAAGCCUCCUCGGCAGGGAAGUUGGGUUAUUGAGUAUAGUUUUGACAAUUAUAAUCUAGCGGGCAUAAAGCCGAGCUUAGGAUAAAUAAGGAGGUCGUACGGGAGGUAUGGUAGGUGUUGGGAAGUAGUGGACCCCAAUAACCCCAUGAUCUCUCAUGCGAAUCGACCUAUAUCCAUACCGCGGAAAAGAAGACUGGGAUUAUCCAAGCCAGGAAGGGGGCAGCGAAUAACUCAACCUUUUCUCUGCCUUUUCCCUUUAAGUUAAGUAUCGCAAGAAAAAUCUCAUCUCCGCUCCAAUUUCCUUAAGGAAAACCUCUCAUGCGUGCUCAUUCAUUACUGAAGGGAUGUACGUAUUUCUCUUUUCGCGCGCACUCAUUCAGAAGAAGGAAGUUAGUCUUUCCACUGGAUGAGAAGAGAAUAAAACCAAGAGUGGUAUUUUUCUUGUUUUCUUCUUUUCAGUGGGAGGAGCAGCAGGAGGAGAGACCGCCCUCGCCCCCGCAGGGGACGUUAGGCCCGGAAACUUCUUUUGUUGGCUGCUAGGUAGUGGGUUGGCUUUACUUGGGGGGCAGGGGGCCGGGACAGAUACUAAGGUCAUUGCCUUAUUAAGAGUACUGAUAUAAAGGGAGAGAUCAAGGAUACUGAUGGCAUUGCCAGAAGGACUGAUACUGGAGUCAUUGCCCUACAGAGCUAGGAGCUAGAGGAAAUCUCAAAAGCUUUUCUCCCUGCUAAGGAAACCGGACAAGAAAGAAAGAACCUAUUCGCCGCCAAAGCUACCUAUUCUCCGACAAAGAAGAAGAAGGAAAGGAAGAAAAAGAAGAAGACUAGCGAAGCGCAUUUAUCUGCAGGGGAGCGAGUCCUUCGGACGGAGUAAGAGGAAGAGGAAUCGUAUGAGUGUGCCUAUCGUCCUUUCCCACUACGCGGUAUCGGCCCUAGGCCGCCUAUCUUCCCCGUCCCUCCUAAGAAUAAUAAGGGGUAGUCAGAAGGGUGAAACCUGCCAAUCUCGGAGCUAACUCAAGGAAGAAGUACCGAGCUAGAAAGGCGGAAAGCAGAAAGUCGUAUUUUGUGUGCCACCUCCGUCUGUCGGUGCCUGUCGGAUUUGGAAUUGGAAAAGUUGAACUUCCAGAAUUGCUUUCUGCCCUAAAUCCUUCAAAGGUCAAGGGCAAUUUCCCGGAUCUCGCUCCCGAGCUACAGAGGCCUUCCUUCCGGCCUGAAGACUAAGAGGAAGAAUAUGGAAUGAAGGCUUUGCUUUCGCCUCUGGGGAGUCAGAAGAGGAAAGAACCAUACAUAGAGGGAACCUCCCUAAAUAUGAGCUUUUCUCCCUGCUAAAGCCGGAAACCGGACAACUCCGGUCGGAAGGAAGCAUACCAACUGGAAAUCUCAAAAGCCAGAUCUCGAGCCAGGCGUCCAAGUCUUUUCCCUCCGAUAGAGAUACGGAGACAGCUGAAAAAGGUCUUGGGCUAUUUCCCGGAUAAAGAAGGAAAAGGGAAAGCCGAUACCGAGCCAGUAUUAGUGCCUCUCUGCCUAUCUUCCCCGGCCCCUCUGGGGAGUCAGAAGAGGAAAGUAUUCGCCGCCAAAGCUACUUAUGAGCCGUCCUUCGGUGCAGACCAAGAAGACUAUUACAAAGAAGUCAAUGAACAAGUGAAGAGAAGAAGAAGCGACUAUAUAUAAGAGACCUACGGCAAGGAAUGAACGAGUCAAAAGGACUCCUACGGAUCGAUUUGCGCUCCCCCACACUCCGGAAGACUAGUCUUAUUCCUUGCUUUAGGUCAAGCGGAGCUUCGCAUACGUCCGUCGUCCUCUUUGCGCUCCCCAAAAAAUUAGGCGUCAUCUUCAUCCUUUCUUUGUCUCUUAUAUAAACCAAUUAAGCUUGGCUUCGCCUCGCAUAUUGAAUUUUUCCUUAACUGUGCGCCUACUUUAGAGCGAGUCUGAAAUCCAUAUUAAGAGCCAAACCUCUGCGGUCAGUCCUUCGGACCAGAUGACCAAAAAAAGGCUAUUGUUUAUAUACAUAUUCAAAUUUGAGGAGAGGUGAAAAGAGAGAAGCGAGAACUCACAGCUUAUAUAGGUGCUCACAGCUCGAAGGAUAGGGAGAGGUCUGAAUAUAGAGACCGACGGGAUCUCCGCCGCCUAAUAGCGGAAGACUCACCUUGUUCACUUUUCUUCUACAUUAACACAUUCUUUCUCUCCCACGUAGCGGUAUGAACGAGACCGAGUUUCCGGAGCUAGAGUCAGAGUCUGAGUCAGAAGUCUCAGUUGAAUAGGAAGAAGUACGAAAAGACUGAUUUGAAUAAUCGCCUCAUUCAUAUGGAUCAAAAUCAGUCAAAAGGUUCCGAACAUGAAUAUGGGGAUCGUUGGAAUAAGACUCGUCCUUCCGCGGUUCAUUCAUAUGGAUCAAAAUCAGUCCUUCGCCUAAUGAAUAUGGGGAUCUGGUCUAUAAAUUAAGCUGCUCCUCGCAAUAUUCUUUGCGCCUUCGGACCUGUCCUCCGGACUGUUCAAAGUCAAUCAAAGAAAAAAGAAAAGAAAAGAAGCUCAUUAACUCGAAUUAAAGAAGCUCAAAAUGGGAAUUCAAAAGAAAGAGGGAGAUUGAAGAUUAAUCUGCUAGAUUGAAGACGGAGGGAAAUACAUGAUUUUGCUAGGUUUUGCCCAUAGGGAAGUAGCAAGAAAUCAUGAAAAAUCCUUCUUUUUCACUCAAUUUUCGUUAAAUAUCAAUAUGAGAUUUAGUCCUAUUUAGAAGCAAAAAAGCCGGGAAAUAGCAACUGGUCCAUUAGAAAAAUCUAGGUCAAAGAAAUUCUCAGUUCUAGUUUGAGUUUAUGGUCCGGAGAAUUACGGGUCUAUUCUUGAUUUCACUCCAGGUUAUGGGUUAUUCAAUCAUAAUGAUUCUUUCAUUCUCGUUAAUGAGUUUCUGCCUUCUUGGUUCAUGAAUGCCUGGCUUUCUUCCUUCGUUCGCUGGGAAUGAGUUAUUCUAUUAUCAUUCUUUGCUUUCUUCGAUCUUUUUUCUUUUUCUAAUGCAUUUCAUUCUAUGUAUUUGAGUACGAAAGCCAGAUAAAGCGCGGAGAUUUGAAGAUUGAUAAUAGUCUUUGAAAGAAUCAAAAAGGCUUGCGAAGACAAGAUCAAGGAAUCCAUACCGCUCCGUGGGAAGAUCAGAAUCGGCAGCUCGAUCUAUUUCAUUCUCAGUUUCGGGAAUCAAUCACUCGAAGCGGGGAAGAAAGCCAAAGGCCUCGUCUUUUCUUUACAUAUUGAAUUUCCCAUCCACACGCCACGUAGCUAUCUCGCUCUUUCUUAGUGGACGAUUUACUUGAAUACGCGGAAUCAAUAUGGGGAUGAUGUUGGCUCAAGGGAAUAUAAGAAAAAUAUACCUUUCCGUAAGAAGAUCAAGAAAAAAAAAGGGGGUGAGAUAGGCGAGACUGGGAGAGAGGAGAGGGAAAAGAAAGAUACCAGACAGGGGCCUGCUCUGCCGAGCCAAUUAACUUAACCUCCCUCGUCGGAUGCAUCCGAAUGCACGAGGAACCUAAUACCAGAGAAAUCGGUAUGGAUUUCUUUCUCUAUUGAAAGGGAGAAAACUCCUAGAAGAUCCAGUCCGGAGGAUUUAUCCGUAGGACUCUAAAACGGAGGACUAUCCAUUAUCAGGGCUUGCUUUGCGCCUCAUCUGGAGCUUUAUUCUUCAACCGCUACGUGGGCUGAGACUUCCAAUUCAAUACCGCUACGUGGGUAUGAGCUACUUUGGGAAAGGAUAACCUUUACAGGAAAGAUUCAGUCAUUCAAGAUCUCACCCCCCGAGACCGGUCGAGCUGCGGAUACUCUAUGUCGAUAGCAGCUAGUCCUACCUCUUUUCUCAAUUCACACAAUUCCUUAUUAACUCAAGACCGAUCGACUCCUAGGCUUUCUCUCUUCUUCUUCAUUCACUUAUCCUAAUCUCUAGGAGUCUUCAACGAGGGCUGAACUUCCUAUGCGAUCUGAUGAAAGGGCAAAGAGCAAGUCAAUAUUCUUGAGAUAAUUCUUGACAAUAUCCCUGAUCAAUGAAUUCAGCCUUAUUUCGCAAUAUGCGCCUCUCCUUCUUAUUAGAAGGUCUUUCUUGCGCUCCUUCUCCUUUCCAGUAGAGCUGAUCCUCGUAAGUUGAUACUGAUUAGAGGUCUCACAGCCCACUCCGCGGUCAAGCUGCAUCCUAAGAAAAGGACUAAUUGGCACUGACGGCUUUCUUUCUUAUAAGCUGACUUCUUGGGAUCGCUUACAGAAAUCCUAUCCUUUCCGGCAUUUCAUCUGCUUCAAACCUGGACGAUCUUCACUCCUCUUGGUCGAGGGCCUCAUCCUUCUCGUGAACUCAGUAAAGAUGAAUAAUAGUCUGUCUCCUAUUCAGACCCGAUAUAGAAAAGAUGCCGAUGAUAAUAGUCUACUUUCGACCCAAGACUCCGAUCCGGAACUUCCGAGACUGAUGAGACUCCCACGGGGCACAAGAAGAAGAGAAGCUUGUAGUAGGUUACGAAUCCUACCUCUUAUGAGCAAGAUAGCGGAGUUAAUAUGGAUUUCUCAAUAUGAAAAGAGCCUUUCUUCUUUUCCGCAAUAUUCUUUGCUUCCCUGAUGGAUAGUCCUUCGGACCUGUCUUUAUCUGGACCUGAAACCAAACUAUAAGGGUUCACAUUGAAUUUCUUUGAGCAAUAUUCUUUGCGCCUAGGCUUGAUUCUUUCAUUGCUUAACACAUUCAUUCUGAGAUUUCUCUCAUAUUACAUUGAGCCUUAAGAGUCGCUUCGUAGAUUAUGCUGAAGGAGGAAAGAAUGAUUUCUUCUUUCUGAGAGUCCUUCGGACAUGCAUGCCCUAGGAAUGAAGCUGAACUUCGCAAAGACUCCAAAAUCCUCGCAAUAUUCUUUCUCAAAUUCUUUGAUCCUCCGUCCUCCGGACUAUCCGUAAUUAACCUAGAUUGGAGCCCUCCGUCCUUCGGACUAUGAAUCAUAUAUAUUUUGGACGACCGACGGAGCUUUCAGUUCCAUAAUACGACUAAGGCUAGGUUAAUAUGGAUAAUAAGUCAUCUGGUCCCUUGUUUUUGGUUCUUUGCACUGGGGGAGGGGUCAAAGAUUCUUAAGAAAUUGAUUAGACCAAGGUUCCCAUUAAAUUGAGGACGGUUUGAAUAGGUUGAAUAGUCCUUCGCCUAAUGAAUAUGGAUAAAGAAGUCCGGAGGACCUAACGGAGGCUCCAUAAGACAGGGAUAUUGUAGGCGGUCGAUGAAAAAGGACCACUAGACGAAUUUGAGAAGAAGAGGAUGAGGAAGCGCUUGCUCGACCGCGGAGUGGGAUCGAGAUGACGGGAUGUUUUGAAUGGGGUUCGGGCCGAAGCUAUCCCCCCCCUCUUUAGUGGGUUCGGAAGUCUCGGUUUCAUGAGUUUACGAAGCAGUCAAUGAACAAAGGCGGGAAGCGAAGCAGCUCUCCUGUAUAGUUGUCCGAGAAGCUAUCCAAGGAUUUCGAAUGAGAGGAAGCUAGACCCGGCCGAAUGGGACUCUGAUCGGAAGAAAGCUGCUCUUGAAUGAGAAGGAGAGAGCGGCCUUAACACAUGCAGUUCGGAACCCUUUCUGUAGCUAGAUCUCUUGAAUGAGAUGUCUUUCCCCGAAGCCUCAGAUCUUGGACGCCAGCAUGAAGAGCGAAGCGAGAACUCAUUUUCAGUGAGAUAAUAUCUAAGUAGCGGGAAUUGAAGAAGAUAAAUAAAGAUAAGUCUCUUCGUAUUCGAUCUAAACUCUUUCAUGAGAUCUUUCCCUAGAUCAGUGGGACUAGUCUCAAGCAAGAACUAUUCUCAAUAGGGGAGUCGCCGUCCGAAUGUGAUCUUUCAGGUUGGUCGGGUCCUAUUUCCCAGUUUGCAUGUAAAUGAGACAGGAUCCCUUUCUACCGUGAUUUGACUUUCAUGGUCUCGGGAUUUUUGCAUGAAAGAGUUCAAAGGAGUAAAUAGCGAUUGAGCGUAUCAAAAUCGAAGGCUCCAGUCCGGAGGACAGGUCCGAAGUCCUCGCAAUAUUCUUUGCUUUGAGCAAUAUUCUUUGCGCCUUCGGACGGGAUAUUCUUGGGAAUCUUGCGUUCGAAAGAUGCGACUAUUCUUUAUAUAUUGAUUAGUGCUUCGCUAGGCUUGAUUUCCUUUUGAGUCCUCCUUUUCGGAUGCUUUCCCCGUAUUUUCUCUCUCCCUUGAAUAAUUAGUAUGAGUCAGGAGAUCGGCCGAUCUCAUCAGAGGGACGAAAGGGCUCGACUGUAAGGAGAGGAGGUGCAGUUAUCAGUUUUCCGUUGAAGAAUUUCAGUCAGUGGCAGUAGUUAGCUGCAGCUCUUUCAGAAGUAGCCGUCUUGUUCUUGUCAGUUGAAGCUUUAGUCUAAGAAGAAAAAAGCUCUAUCCUCACCAGUUGCAGGCAGCUAUCUCUCCUUGUGUAAUUCAAGCCGAAUAUAGCGCGGUUCAUGCUAAUAACCGGGAUCAAUUGCAUGAUACGAUUUGAGGUCACAAAAAGAAAGGAAUAAAUUCAAUAAGAAGUGGGGCAUUUUCAAUCAAGGCGCUGGGCUGGGCUUUUGACUUCCUGGCAUUAGCAGCUAUCCAGAUAUUUCUGGUCGAACGUCCACCCCUAAUAGCCUGCUUCGGGUCUUUUCUUCCCCUGCUCCUCCCCCUCUGACUGAUACUGAGUUCUCAUUCCAAGUCUAACUCCAACUCAGCUGUGCAAGGUGCAAAGAAUAUUGCCGUGUGGACAUUAGUUAUUCUAUCAAUUCCAACCAUAACGAGUGAGGUAAUCCGACUUGAGGCUAGUCCCUUUCAGUUAUGAAUUCAAGACCGAAACCCUUGUCUAAAGCAAAUGUUAAUCCUUGUUCAUUGAUUUCUAACUUGGCUAUUGCCGAUAGGCUUUGAUUUUAUGCCUUUCCCCCGCUCCACUAAAUUACAUCUUAGAUUUGAACUGUUAGAAACUAUAUUUCUUGAUUUGACUGUCAAAAUGUCUAUCUCACCCCAACUAAAGGGAAUCAAUAUGCUCCUACCUCAGAUAAGAAGGCAGAGGCUGGGUCUGACUAAAUUGAGCAUUUUGCCUAAGAAAUUAGGGUUUUGUCUUCAAGGCCACUUCCCGGACUAGAGGAGGUGCCCGUUGGCAGCAAGGCUAUCAGCGGGUUCUGGUGCGGGGCGGUCUGUAGUAGAAUCUGAUGACCCAAGAAGGCUUCCUCACCAGUCGACUCCCCGAGAGAGAUGAAUGAGACUUGGCCGGUAUCGCUUCCUACUCACGAGAAUUCCUUACCUCGCCUAUUUUUUGGAAUCUUUGAGACCGAGAAUAAUAGUACUUUCUUUUUGGGGAACUGAAAAUAAGGUGGACUUCUUUAUAUCCAUAUUAACUUCUUUCUGACCUAUGGCUGACUAUCCACUUAACCUCUCCUUGCUCAUAAUUGCUUUUCACUGUGAUGAACGAAGGGAAUUACUCUUUUCUAUGAGAAUUCUAUGCUAGUUCUAAGAGGGAAAGAAGCUGGAACUGGUCGAUCUUUCUAUUAUAAGGGGUCCAGAUGCGCAAUGAAAUAUGCGGGGAGGCGCAUAUUGCGGCGGGAAGAAUAUCCUUAGCUGCCGUGAGUUGCGUGAGUUGCCCCACGUAGCGGUGCCAUAAGACAGGUCCGAAGGACUAUCCAUUAGGGAAUGAGAGGACGGAGUCUGACUAAAAAAGAGAUUUUCCCAGGGAGAAUGGACAAUUCAGUAACUUCCUCGGACUCGUCGUCCUCCUUCCCCUCUCUUCUAGCUAGGUACGUGUUAGACCUCCAUUCCUAUGGAAGAUGGAACUCUUGAUGACGCAGCUGACUCUCGGUAAAGCUAUGAUAGCUACCCUUCCACUCGAUUAGACGCCGCCUCAAGGUAAAGACACUUCCUAACCGCUCCGUGGGCUAGAAGGUGGAGUUCCGGAUCCGUGUGAAUAACGAAAUUCAGAUGAUCACUCUUUUCCUGAAUGAAAUGAACUCGCUUGAGGAAUGAGAGGAAGAGCUCUUCAAGGUUCAUUCCUGAAACCCAAAGCAAAAAAAGAAGUCAAUGCCCACGUAGCGGGACAAGAGACUGAGUUGGAAGCGCUAACUAUACAAAAGUAGGGCCUAGGCAUCAAGGGAAGUAUCAGAAAAGGCUGAUGUUCAAGCUCUUUCCGAGGAGCAACCUCAAUAGUCAUCUGUCCCGGAAGAAAGGGCGCGAAGCUCUAAGAACCCUCACUUAGAAGUCGUGCAAAAAAAAGAAGACCAUAAAAAAAAAAGAAAAGAAAAUUGAGUGAUGAGGGCUGAAAAAUGGCUGAAAAGAGGUUCCCACUUCCAUCCACCUUCUUCAAAUCCCUUUCUGAGAAGUGAGCCCUCCAUUUUAGUCCGUAAUAUUCUAGUCCAUAAAUCAAAUCUCCUAGGCUUUCCAUUCCACUGAAAGCGAAAACCGGAAAUUCAAGGAAUGAACCUUCGUCGAAUAAUCAGCCAGAAGAGGUUCCUUCUACGCGGUCAAACCGCUGGUCAGACAGAAGACAGGAAAUUUUCCGUCUUUAGUCAGAGGUCUCGGGACAAGCCCAAGCGGGGUCCAGCAGUCCUUGUUUUUCUUCUUUCUUCAUUCUGGUAGUAGUCACACUGAAAUCCUUGGAUCGAUCGUCCGCUGUACCCCUUUUUCUUUCGUUGUGGCGCAAAGCCAUUAUUAUUCAAAGACGGAUGAUUCAGAUUCUAAUAGGAUGAAGAAAUCCGUCAAUGAAGAGUUCUGGGACAAACUAUCCCACCAGCAUGCAUCAUCGGAUCUCUCAGGAGACAUAUAGGGAGGUGCAAAGAAUAUUGCGGCCGCUACGCUGAAAAAGGGAAAAAGAAAGGCUCAAAGAAGAAGGUUAAUAUGGAUAGUCCUUCUCGGACGGGGGAUUUGAGGCCCUUCUAAUGGAUAGUCCUACUUCCUUCCAUAUGGAUGGUCCUACGGAUACUCCGGACUGGAAAGGAGUGCAAAAGAAAGGCUGGGGAUCCCACGGAGCGGUUGCAUCUUGGAGCAGCUGUAGUUGAGAAAUUAAUCAGAAGAUGCUGAGUUGACUCUGUCAGGAGUACCUACUAUCAUGGGGAGUGGAAAGGCCAAGGAAUUUCGUGAGAACAUAAGAGAAGAAAGUUCAGUCAGGAAAGCCUACCAUAAGAAAACCUAUAGGGAGAAAUAAGGCAAAGGAUGAAAGGUUUGAAAGUCAUAAGAGGCUGAAUUCAAUUUUCGAGUUCCAUGAAGGGGGUGAUGAGACUUGUUUUUAGACAAAGACAAAGUACUAUAUAUAGGAAUGAAGCUGAACCUUCGCAAAGAUAAUUCUUUGAGCGUCGGACUGAUUUAUCAAGCUUAAUCUUCAUCUUUUUAUUCAAAAAAAGAAAGAAAUUCAGAAGUCAUAGGGGACGGAGCGGGAUUCCUCCCCUAUCUUUUAUGGCGGUCCAAAAUAUAUGCCGCAAGAAAUUGAAAUUCCAUAAAUCAGUCCGCCUUUUUUGAUUUUACAAGGGGGCUUUCUUUCUUUAGUGGGCCCUUGUUCAUUGAUUGCGCUCUUCUGAACUUAUAUAAAGUCGCUUCGCUUCGUCAAUAUUCUUUGAACCUAUUAGCCUUUUAGGUUAGGAAUGAUAGUCUUUUCUUUUCUUUUUUCUGGUAUGCCGCUCCCUGGGAAGAAGAAGGCACGAGCUCCGCGAAAACAAAAGGGGGGAAUUCUCAUUUCUUGUCUAUUGAAUAUAGAUGUCUUUCUUGUUCCACUAGCUAGGACCAAAUUCGAAGAUGUCUCUUUCCUUAUUACAACCUUCAUUUUUGAUGUCAAAGACCAGAAGCUAUGCGCAAAUUCUCAUUGGAUCUCGGUUGUUCUUAACAGCGAUGGCUAUUCAUUUAAGUCUUCGGGUAGCACCACUAGAUCUUCAACAAGGUGGAAAUUCUCGUAUUCUGUAUGUACAUGUUCCUGCGGCUCGGAUGAGUAUUCUUGUUUAUAUCGCUACGGCUAUCAACACUUUCUUGUUCCUAUUAACAAAACAUCCCCUUUUUCUUCGCUCUUCCGGAACCGGUACAGAAAUGGGUGCUUUUUUUACCUUGUUUACUUUAGUGACUGGGGGGUUUCGGGGAAGACCUAUGUGGGGCACCUUUUGGGUGUGGGAUGCUCGUUUAACCUCUGUAUUCAUCUCGUUCCUUAUUUACCUGGGUGCACUGCGUUUUCAAAAGCUUCCUGUCGAACCGGCUUCUAUUUCAAUCCGUCUUGGACCGAUCGAUAUACCAAUAAUCAAGUUUUCAGUCAACUGGUGGAAUACAUCGCAUCAACCUGGGAGCAUUAGCGGAUCUGGUACAUCAAUACAUGUUCCUAUGCCCAUUCCAAUCUUGUCUAACUUUGCUAACUUCCCCUUAGCAACCCGUAUCUUCUUCGUUUUGGAAACACGUCUUCCUAUUCCAUUUUUUCCCGAAUCUCCUUUAACGGAAGAAAUCUCUGCUUUUUAUGCUAAAAUGACAGUCAGAAAAUCAAAGCUCCAGAUGAGUUGAAGUUCAUUGAGGCGGUAUUGGUAAAGAAAGUGACGUCCUCAAUCCGUCAAUCCAAUCAAUAAGGCUUCCCCUCUUUUAUGAAAGAUAGCUUGUCUUCCAUUCUGGGGGGGCGAAUACCUUGCUUCUAAGUCACAGAAUUUCUUGAAAGAUAUGCUACUUCCCGCUCUUCUCUCUCUCAUCUGUCAACAGGUAUCGGUCGCAUCUGGUCAAUCAGUACACACGAUAUCUGUCUCUAAAUAAAGAGAGAUCCUUUUCGUUAUGAGUAGUAUUCUUUCUCAUAAAGGAAAAGACAGACUAUAUCUGGGCUAGCUCGACUCCACCCCUACCAGGGCCUGAGCCCUUUUUGUGGAGGCUCAAAGAAUUCUCGUUUAAGACUCUGAAAUCAAAAAGAGUCUUAACAGACAACAGGUAUCAAAACAAGAAGAAAUAAGCGGAAAGCAGAAAGAAAUCUUAAGGAAGAAGAAAGAGAGGGAUAGGCUUUCUCCCAAGAACAUCGAUCAGUCUGAGAGGAAGAAUGUCCAAAUAAAGAUCAAGCCUAGUUCAAUAUUCUUUGAACCUACUAAACUAAAAGGUGAAAGUCAGAGGACAAUGAAAUAUUCUUUUCACCUUCUACGUUCUCCAGAACCUACUAGUAAGUGAAAGGAAGAAUUGAUUUGAGUUCCAUUAAGAUCAACUCAUCUGUCGCUCGCAAAUUCUUUGCGCCUUGCACCCUUGUUUUUGAGGGAGAAAACGAGUCAAGAGGAGCGGAGGGGGCGGUUUUCAUUUCUUUUCAUCAAAAUCAGACAAGAAAGAAGUCAGAAAGCUCCUAACCUCUUCUUUAUGGGGAGCCGUAGGUUCAAAGAAUAUUUCAUUCUUCAUUGAGGCCUUCUCCGUCCUCCUCCGCCUUCUACGUCCUACUACGCCGAGAAAUAUUCUAAGACGUUAAAGAAAGGCGCAAAGUUCGGUUAAUUACGGAAAGUCCGGAGGACUACUUCGGUUAAUUACGGAUGGUCCUACUUCGGUUAAUUACGGAUGGUCCUACGGAUAAAUCCUCCGGACUACUUCCAUAUGGAUAGUCCUCCGGAUAAAUCCUGCGGACUGCGGACUCCGGACUACUUCCAUAUGGAUAGUCCUCCUUCUAAUGGAUAGUCCUACGGAUAAGAAUCCUCCGGACUGCGGACUCCGGACUCCGGACGUAGGAUAAAUCCUGCGGACUCCGGACUCCGGACGUAGGAUAAAUCCUGCGGACUGCGGACUCCGGACAGGUGACGGGGGUUUUGUUGAGUUUACCUUACGUGUUUUGGACAGACAAAAUAACGAAAAUUGUGAAAGUUGAAGAAGGAUAGAACUCCGAAGGACUCUGUCAUUAAUGGUCCAAGUGUCUUUCAUUCAGUUUCCCUUUUUUUUCGGUAUACUAAGGGGCGGUUCCCUUCCCCUUUUCCCAAUAUUCUAAUUAAUGUAUCAUGAUAGGAAGAACCAUGUAUUUACUUUCUAAAGAGGAAAAUAGUUCCCCUUCGACGAAUACGAAUUAUGGAACUAAUUUGAGAAAAUAUCUGAUUUUGACUCCCGACAAGGUGAAAAGAAUAUUGAAAGUCAGACAAGAGAGAAUUUCCCAAAGACUGCAGGGUCUUUUUAAGUGUUCCGCUAUUGUAAUUGCCAAGGAAAAAGACCAAGAUAAUGCGAACCAUUUGAAUGCAGCCGUAUUGAAUGAGAAUGCCACUCGGUAUAAUGCCGCAAAGCUCAUUAGACAAGCAUUCCCAGAAUGGGAAGGGAUGCUGGGUCGCCUUGAAUAAGGCGUGGGGAUCCCUCUGUAACUAUGUCACGAAGGAGGACAAGAAUCCCUACGUCUGGGGGAAGUUCUCACUCCAACAAGUAAUGUGCGAGGCCCAGGCUUUUACAAAAAAGAGGGCUCUUUGAAAUAGUAGUAUAAAGCAGCCGCCCAUGAAAGUGGAUGCCCUCCUUCAGAGGAGAGGCUCCGAAAGCAUGAGAACAGGCUCGAUGUCCAAAACGAUCCACAGCUGCACAGGCCCCUAUGGACAAAAUAGAAUGUGUUACGCCAGCUAUAGCUAUGGGAGGACGUGCAGAACAAGAAGGCCCGAGAAAGAACUCUCAUGGAGGGAAUUGCACCUUAUCUCUGGGAGCCCGGAUGGGCCCAAGAGUACCAAGAGUACGAGCCGGAAGACUUGGGCGAGAAAGAUUUUCUACUCGACUGGGUGGCAAUCAACCGCUCCGUGGGCGCCCGAAGGCCCCUAAAGACGAGGCAACUUUGAAUUUACGGGGAAUGAGUAGAAAGAAAACCUUUUGAAUAACUAUACUUUCACAAGUGAGAAGGGUCUAGACCAGAAAGGAAAAACGACUAAAAAGGUGCUAACGACUUCUUUGACCUUUGGGUCCUUGACGAGUUUCAAGACCCUAGUCAUAGUCGACAACACGGCACUCCGGACGGGUCCAGGUGACUCAGAAAAUUCCACUAAAAGCCUAACCAUCUACUCAAAUUCUUAGAUGGACAAAAAUGUAGGCUCGACGCUAAAUAUGAUAGGGUCUUUCUCAAGAAGAGAAAGGUACCUAUUAUUCUAAUUGGAAAUGAGCUCCCCUUUCUUUUUCAAUGAAAAGGACGGGCCCGUGGUCGGAAAGGAUUUUUCCCUUAAGGUUCUUCUCUCACCUAAAAGAUCUAGUGGAAGAAAGAGUCAUCGCCACGGAAAUGUAUAGAAAGAAGAGCGGGGAUCCUGGAUUCCAUGGGACAUCCACCCAUUGAUAACAACUUUCUCCAAGUAAAUUCAUUCUAUCUUCCGGAAGAAGAAGAAUGCUUCGACUCUUGGAAUUUGUCAAAUUUUCAUCGAAAAGAAUUCGUCUAUCCUCCAUUCGGAGAGAGAAAGAGGGAAACCCUUUAUCUCCAGAUUUCCGAGGAGAACUUGCAAAAGUCUCGAAUGAACCUCCUGAACCUUGCCCGUCUGCCUCUAUGCAAAAGGAAAGAAAAGCAGGGAAAGUGGAAAACCAGGUACAAUAAAAGGGAAUCCCUCGUUCUUUCAGAAAAAGCAGUAGCUUUACUUGAGGAUGAAAUGCUCUUUCCAAUCCUAAGAGGAAGUUGAAGAACUAGCUUUUGAGUUCUGAAAUCGGGUAGGGGACUACUUUCCCCAAUGAGCUACCCAAGGAAAAAAGGCUGAAUGAAUUGAGUUUCUGAAUUAAGCUACCCCCUCCGUUUUAGAGUCCUUCCUUCCAUAUGGAUGGUCCUACUUCGGUUAAUUACGGAUGGUCCUACGGAUAAAUCACCUGGACCUUUCUUUGAUGGUGCAAAGAUCUAUGGAUAAGGCGCAAAGCAAAGGAUAUUGCGAGACAGGUCCUCAGUCCUAUCCAUAUUAACCUGCGACUGAGGACGGGAUAUUCUUGGGGAUUUGAUGAGAGUAUGAAUCAUAUUAUUUUGGAGGGGGACCACUCCUCAAAUUCAAAGAGCCUUGCCUCCGGUUGUAAUAGUCUUGUAAAUCAUCAAAACCUCCGGGGAGCGCAAGAAAGGAAAAACGAGACCUUUAAUUUCAUAUCUGAGGAAAGGUCAUCCUUGCACUCCUUCCCAGUCGCUUCGCUUCGCGCCUUCUACGCAGUGGAAUCUGUCUCAGUUUCAGUUGCUAAAGUCACUUUUGGUUGAGGAUUCAAUGCUCGACCAGAAGUUUCACUGGUUUACAAAGAUGUGUAAAUUAACUAGAAAUCGCCUAUAGGCGGAAAGAAAAGGCCCAAAAUGGGUUCCAAAUGGAUGAUUCACGAGGGAAAUGCACAUUUGUAAGGUUUCCGCCUAUGCGGAAUGAAAGAAAAGACUCAAAAUCCCGACCUUGGAAGGUUCGAAGAAUCAAUGAACUAUAAAGAAAGCACAAAUCCCCACUCCGCGGAGACCUACGGCAAGGUUAUCAUAUGGACAGUCCUUCGGACUUCGGACGGAAGCAAGUGGUGGAACCGCUACGUGGGAGACCCCAUUCGUGAGGUUUAAUCUCCAUUUUUCAUCUUUUGACCACUGGUCGUAUGAGUCCUUCGCCUUGGAUCUGGCGGGAGAGCCCAUGAUAGAUACCCGAUGAUCCCUAUAUUCAUGACAAAAACUAGGGAUGUUCCACUCAGCACCCUAAAGUUCCACUCUAGCUCCUUGUAAACAAUGAAGAAACCUCCUUUCCCGCAGAGUCAAGUGAUUUUGACUUGAGUAAGUCACUUCAAAACCGUGGGAAAACUGUCCAAAACCUCUGAUUUGACUCCGUAGGCAAGGCACCGGAGCGGCAAGGAAUCUCCUACUACGCCAUCCCAAUACUGUCUUUCCACUUUCAAGGGAUUCCUCCCGUAGGUCCGCCCCACCUCUCCUUGUUUCAGAGUCAGCGGAAUCGCAAUAUUCUUUGCACCUUUCAUUAUCUCUUUUUUAAUUCAUGAACGAUCGAUCCGAUCGAAAGCAAGAAAAAGAGAUCCCACUGGGGCGAUUGAUUCUUCAGAUGCCCCGAAAAUCAAGCUCCAGAUGAGUUGACGAGACCAUAGGAAGAGGGACCUAGUCGAAUGACUCUUUGUCUGGUAUGCUUCCGCAACCUCAUCAGAGGUAUCAACUUUUUCUGAUGACUGAACGGGUAGAACUGCGCGUGUCGAUCCAUGAGAUAGAGCGACGUCAGUCUUCCCUCCCACGGGAAAGAUCCAUGCGCCCUACUUCUUCCUCCGAUUCUGCUAAGCGUACUUCUUUCUUCUUUGAAAGGAGAUUCCGAGGUGAAAAGAAUAUUGAACCGCUACGUGGGCGUAAAAUCAAGCGGAAAUCUUCGAGCAAUAUUCUUUGCUUUUCUAGUGGACCUCGCAUAUUUCAUUGCGCCUUCUCUCCUUUCAGUCGAGCCCUCAGUCCUAUCCAUUAGACUGCACCUCGCAAUAUUCUUUGCGCCUGCGCCUGGACCUUUCUUUGACUAUCGUAGCAAGAGUAGCUGAAGGAUCAAUGAAAUUUGAUGAUUGAUGCCAUAAAGGAAAAGUCCAAGGAUUUAGUUAUCGAUGUUCUCGGAAGAAUAUUGCGGAGUGAAUUUAAGGAAGACGAAGUUCGAGCAAUCCGAACGGAAGAAAAGGUCAAUGGAAGUCCUGGAGCCUCCGGAGUGCUCCUUAUCUCUAUGGUACUAGUAAGAGAAAAGACCCGUCCUUUUUCUUUAUCAAGCUUAACCUUUGUAAUAGGUUGAAUAGUCAGCUGGUCCGAAGGCGCCAUAAGACAGGUCCGAAGGCGCAAUGAAAUAUGCGUUGAGAAUUUGAGAGAAAGAAAGAUUAGACUUUCCAGUUCUUCCCGCUCCGUGGGCCCUUCGUUAAUUACGGAAAGUCCUCCUUCCUUCCAUAUGGAUGGUCCUACUUCUGUUAAUUACGGAUGGUCCUACUUCGGUUAAUUACGGAUGGUCCUACGGAUAAAUCACCUGGACCUUUCUUUGGCCCUGCGGACGUAGGACUACUUCGGUUAAUUACGGAUGGUCCUACGGAUAAAUCACCUGGACCUUUCUUUGGCCCUGCGGACGUAGGACCCUGGACCUUUCUUUGGCACGUAGGACAGCUCAUUAACGAUAAUGAAAGAAGAAAAAAAUGGGAAUGAAAAAGAAAGAGGUGAAUAUGGGAGAUUUCAGACAUCGAUUUUAGUCUUUUUGACGGAGUGAAUUCCAUGAUUUUGCUAGGUUUUGCCCAUAGGAAGUAGCAAGAAAAGACAAAAAAUCAGUCAAAAUUGAUCUAUUUUCGUUAAAUAUCAAUAUGAGAAAAAGUCCUAUUUAGAAGCAAAAAAGCCGGGAAAACGCAAUGAAAGAAGAACUCCUAGGACAGGGAAAAGAAAUGAACAGAGUUUGAUUAUGGUUUCUGGUCCGGAGAAAUACGGGUCUAUUCUUUGAUCCUUCUAAUGGAUAGUCCUCCUUCCCUCCAUAUGGAUGGUCCUACGGAUAAAUCACCUGGACCUUUCUUUGGCCCUGCGGACUCCGGACCCUGGACCUUUCUUUGGCCCUGCGGACUCCGGACUACGGACUACGGACUUUCGGUAAUUAACCGAACUUUGCACAAGGCUUCCGCUUAAAUGUCUUUCGAAACUCAUAUAUAUCCUGGUGGGAGCUUCCUUUUCUCAUUCUCGAUUUGAAUUGGACUUUAGUAGGUCGAGCCACUAUUUUUCCUUGCUGGGGAUGAAACUGAAAGGGAUGAGUUUGCUCUUGGUCACCUCGUAGAUUAGCCGCUCAUUAAUAUGAAGAGAAGAAGCGAGAAAGGUUCGCCACUAUUCAAAACCGUUAAGGUCUGAUCGAGAAGCUCUUAUCCAGAGAUGUCUUUCCAAAAGCAGCUAUCUAGGGAAAUGAGAGAGAUAAAGAAUGAGUUUAGACGAACGAGGCCUAGCCUAAGACAUAAGAACAAAAAAAGCUUUGUAGAGAGACUCUAAUUCUUUGAGCCUCUUAGCGGAAUUAGACCGAGCCCUUGCUGCUACCUUGGCUUGGAAGCUAGGGUGCGCGGGGCGAAGCGGUAUUUCCCCGGUGGAACGAGAGAAAGGAAUGAUCGAGAUCAGGAUCGGCAUCACCUGGAAAGGAAAGGGUCUCCACCGGAGCAAGAGCGAGACUUGUAGAGAAGGAAGAGAGUGUCCCCUCAUUGAGAUCUUGCUAAGGCAGAGGAAGAAGGAGAAGUUGAAGAACUAGCUUAGAUUAUAGAUCAGCCUGUGACACAAUGACUGAAAUCUCUCAGCAGGCUUCGUCGUGCCCUAAUUCCCCAGACGCCCUACCCUCCCUGGACCUGAAAGAGAGAGCGCCAAUUCCUUCCACCGAUUUCCCACUACGCGGUUGAGGCAAUCCCCCUAUCGUUCAGGCAGAGCUUUUCUACCUGUGCGGAAAGGAGGCAAUUCAGGUUUCCUUUCGUCCACAGGGUGAAGGGGCAUAGGCGCAUAGGGCCAUAGACCGAAAUGGUUAAAGAACAUUUCUUUCGUGAAUGAAGAAAGCUUUCUUUAUCCUUAUGCCACAUCUCACUGAGAAAAUCAGUCAAAUGAGUCCUUCUCACCCAGCCGGGCUAAAGCACGAACCCUCAAAGACUUUACCACUUCCAUCCAUAAAUAGGGGAAUGAGCCCAACUGAGUCCGCUCGAGCCCUUGUUUUGACUCCUCUCAAAUCCCCCGUCCUCAGUCCUAUCCAUAUUAACCUGUGACGCAUCUGGACCCCUUAUAAUUGGAUUGCGCCUUUCUUUUUUUCUUUAUAAAGCUUAGUUCAUUCUAAUUCUAAAAGGAGAUUUUCAUCAAUCUCAUUUCAAAUCUUCCCCAUGCUAAAUCUCACAUCGGAAAGUCAAGAAGACGGACGAGAGGCGGAAUGAAAUAUGCGUUGACAAGACUGGAAGGCGCAUAUUGCCCAUUAGAGAAUUUGACUUUGGAGGAGAGGCUCAAUUCAAAGUUCAGCGGGAAGAACUGAUCGCAAUAUUCUUUGCACCUCCUUCAGCAUAAUCUAUUCUUUGCGCCUGUCUGUCCUUCGUCCUGGAGCGGUUUAAGACGCCUCAUAUGGAUAAAAACAAGUCGUCCUGGAGCGGUUUAAGAGUCCUAAGUAGCUUAUCUAGACUCGUCCUCCGCGGUUCAAAAUGGAAGGCUCAAAGGAUAUUGAGGCGAUGACAUUCUUUAUUUAGUCGCUCGCAAGAAGGCAAUAUUCAAAGCUCUUUUUUAAGCAGCUGCAAUAAUGAAAGGGAUCAUGACGCAAUAUUCUUUGCGCCUUCUACGCGGUCUCGCUUCUUCUUCGCGACUAAGUUCAGUGCUUUCUUUCAUUCUUCUUCCUUUGAAUGAGAAAAGGGCAAAUGCCAUGUUCAAAGCUUGAUUUUUCUCAUUACACGGGGAAUGAACUAGCCUUUGUUCGCCGACCGCGGUCUGUCUUCUUUAUCCUGAUGUGACUAGAGUCUUUUCAUUAUACAAGCACCGAAGCGCUACGCAUAUUUCAUUGCGCCUCGUUCAAAGCCUUUUUCUAUUUCAAGAAAGAGAGAUAUGAACUUCUCCUUAAAGAACUAGGAGAGAAAAUCGACUUCUGCCGGUCCGUCCUUAGUCGUAGUCUGAAAACCUUUGCCUAUUCCCCCGCUCCGUGGGCUUCAACAAAGGGUACGGAUGAUGAUUCCUUUUUGUUAUUUCCCCUUCUCCUAAUAUAAUAGGGUUAGUCGAGCUUCCGAAUCAGGCAGGUGUCGUGAGCGCCGAUUGGUCGAGGUGACUUGGCUUCCACCGCAUUGAUGACUAAGAAGCUUAGAUGAAAGGCUUAUGUCUUUUUCUGCUGACUUUGAUUUCAUUAUCCAUUCCACCUUCCUUCCAUCCGCAUUCGUCGAUGAGUGGAAUCCCUUUUCGGUAAAAAAACCAGUCGAGCCACUUUCUUUAGCCUUGGCUAGCUCAUAAGGCAUGAAACUAAGCGACUUCUGAAACAAGAAGAGCUACCCUUGAAAUAACCACAGCAACAGGAACAAGAACUGCCACAGCCGAAAGAACUAGGUCCUUCUAACCUCUCCUCUCCAGUCUCGCUUCUUCGAACCAGCGCCGGAACUGAAAUCCUUCGCCCACGGAUCUUUCUCUCGCGCGGGUCUGGCUCUCUCACUAUUAGAAUCUCUUCGUAGACCGGCCGAGACCAGUGGGCAGCGGUCACUUCCAGAGUCAGGAUGAUAUCAGUCAACUCAUCUGGAGCUUUUCAUUGAUCUCUUUCAAAAGAAAACCCUCUUCCUUUCAAAGUAAUAGGUUGAAUAGUGAAAUAGUGGGAUUGAUUUUGAUCCACUAGAAUGAACCGCGUAGGAGGAGGAUCAGAUCAAGGUGAACAAGAUCCCCAUAUUCAUUGGGGCGAAGAGUUUACGUAAAUCAAAGAAAAUGAGCUCAUUAACGAGAAUGAAAGAAGAAAAAAAUGUCUAAUCUUUGCUCAAGAUGACAUUCUUUCUUUUGGUGAUCGAGACCGCGUAGAAGGCGCAUAUUGCGAGAAACUUGAUUUGAGAAUAUUGCGUGAAAGGUCAAAAUAGUAAGGAGCAAAGAAUAUUGCGUGGAAGUGCACUAAUAGGGAAAAGUCAAUCAAAGAAAAGAAGCUCAUUAACGACUACUGGAUAAAGAAGUCCUUCGGACGGAACAUGGGAUCAAGCCUAUUUUCUAGCUUGCUUUGGACGAAUGCUUUCUUUCCUACCCAUUUCGAGGCGAGAUUAGAUUGAGGAGACGGAGUUCUAUUUAGAUAAGAAAAAAGACCUAGAGGGAGAGAAGAGGGAAAGAUGGAAAAACCCACUACGCGCCCCCAUGUGAGAUUGAAGUUUGAACGCCAAAUCAGCCAUUUGCUAGUAGGGACAAUCGAAGAUGUAGUAACUUCAGGCCGGUGAACAUGAGGAGCGAGUGAAAAGAGGCUAAAAUGGUUUUAGCAAAGAAGAUGUCUACGAGUCAAAAUCAUCCCCUAUCCUAGUGCGUGCCCCGUCUGUGACCAGACGGACUAUGAAUAUAUCUACUCCGAAAGGGACUAAGUUGCUGGAGGUGUAGAGGAGAGGGACAGAUUUGACCUCUGAUUCCGCUGACUCUGAAAGAAGGACUGGUGGGGACUUUCUUCUAUUCGCUCGUGAACUCGACCGCUUCCUGAACUCUUGAAAGGAAUUGAAGGACGGGUUCAAACUACGAACCGGACCGACCCGGCCGCUGCCUCUUCUUCUCUCGAUCCUAUCUGAGCCCACUGGGUCUCGCGACUCAAAUCCCCACUUUCCCACGGUUUUGAAGUGACUUAUGAAAGUAUGAAUCACGAGACUCUGCGGGAAGAGGAUUCUCACUCCUUCUUCUUCCCUCGCUUUCUCUUUCAUCUCUUGCAUCCACGCUUGGGCACGAAGGAAUCGGAAGACCUUCGUUAUAUAAUUAAUAAAAAAAGCAAAGUCUUCCCAUUCCCCAUUCAAUCAUCCCACUGUGGUAGGAGCCGGAGAGCAUAACUUAAAGAGAAAGCAGAAGCCUCACAGGGGACGCGAAGAGUAGGGCAUUCCCUGAAUUAGCUAGCAAGGUCACAUCCAUCGAGUAAAGAUGAACCGUCCGGAGGACUAAGAAAUCCAUAUGAGCCUUGAUUUAUUCCUUUUUAGAUCAAGAUUUUCAGUCCUAUCAUGCACAAUCUGAGGUAUUUUUCGGGUAUUAGACUGAUUUGGGAGAUGCAAGCUCAACCCACGGAGCGGUAGAUUCCCCUUACCCUACUUAUGUAUCAAUCUGCCGAAAGCGAGAAGUCUUCUCUUAUUGGGUUUCUUCUGCAAAGUUCAGAAGUAGAAGGGCUCGAAUAUAAUAUUGAGUCUUUUUUUUUCCUAUUUAUGUGAGGGGAAAUCUUUCAAUUAUUUCCGUAAAUAAUCCCCUCCGGUCCAGCUCUUCAUGGAAGUCGAGAGUGAAUCUUGAAGUGCGCGGGCAAUGCCGCUCAGUCUUAAAGUGGAAUCUUUUCGGAUGGGCUUCUUCUUCGUAUGACUCGGUAGCCAUAGCCCCAGGACGAAUACGAAUACAACCAGAGUCAGAUCUUGAACUUGAGACUUAAUAGAAAGGGAUAGAAAGAAGAAUGAACUAUUCACGGUGCCCACGUAGCGUCCAAGAAGAUUUUAGUUCCUGAAGAGCAAUAAGAAAAAGCAAAGCGGUGGCACUAUCAAAAGGACCCGUAGGCAAGGCUCCAUAAGACGGGGAUAUUGUGGACCCCUCGGACCCAGUUCCUUUGUUUAUAGUCAUAGUCUUUGAAUCGAUGUCUUAAGCAAAUGUAAAUGAAAGAAGAAGAAAGUUCAACGAAAGCCAGCGCUGAUUAUUGCGGACUCCUUCACAUCUUAUUCCUCGGAGGCUUUUAGGAUUUCUUAUCUUUUCUCGACUUUCUAUAUUUCAAGAGGGCGGGGAUUUGAAUCAAAAUCUUCCAUGAAGCAUAGGGCUUCAAAAUCAAACAAAGAGAUUCUCACUAAGAAAUCUUCGAUUUACCCACUACUUCAAUCUGAUUUCAUAUUUUCCUUUGUAUGAGAAAAUGAAACUUGGUCUUUUCCUCAUGCAAGAAUUCAGUACAAAAGCAGAAUCGGAAUACAAGGCUCAGCGAGGCCUCGGACGAAUGAAUCUUUUCUCUUUAUCUCUUUCCCAAGUGGCUUUCUUGAAUCCGUGCCUGCUUCGGCAUAGCCGCCCGAUAAAGCAGAUAGAGGCAAGUCCUCCGAAACCUUUUUGAAAGAAAGAGAGGGGCGCAGAGACUCGACCGUAGGGAGAGGGGCGAAGCCGAGAAUGAAACUGAAAGAGAGAGAUCUCACAAGAAGAAUUGAACUUCUUCAUGGGAUUCCCUUUAAAAGAAUGAAAGACAAAGAGAGAUUCAACAAGAUCGAAGAAGGAAAGAAAGAGAGAUCAUGAAAUCGUAAACUCAUGAAAGAAGAUAAGAGUUCAAAGAGUUCGAUCCAAGAAUUCGAAAGACUUCUCUCUCUCUAUGUUCUUGACUUCGUUCUUUAAUUCAAGAUCUGUAGAAUGUGAAAGAUGAAUAUUCUUUACUUGACUUCCUUCUUUACAUCGAAGACUUCUAAAUCUUAAUUCAAGAUCUCAUUCAUGACUUCGGAAAGAAGAAUGAAAGAUCCAAAUGAAAAAACCUUCUCCGCCUCUGAAAGAAGAAAGCCGUCACACAAAGAAAUCAAGAUCAAGCCUAGCCUGAAUGAACAAGGCCUUUCAUUCGAAUGCUCUCUGCUAGGGAAGAAAAAGAAGACAAGACGAGCGCGAAGGGAAGCGCAUUUAUCUCAGAAAAUCAGAGAAAACGACUCAAGAGGCCCAUAUUGCGAGAGGCUCGACCAGAGGUUAUCAGAAAGGAGACCUAGUUCACUCGAAGGAGAGGAGUGCAAGCAGUUGAGAUAAGAAAAAAGACCUAUAAGGACUUUUAGAAAGACUAUUUUCUGACUAUGCGGGAGAGAGAUUUGACCACAAAACCCACUAAAAGGAAUGCUCCUUCUCCGUCCUUCUACGGGGAAAUAGCAUUUCUCUAACGAGAAAUCCUUGUUCUCAUUUGCUUAAGGAGUUUUGGACUACUUCGUCCGCCUCAUCCUAACCACCUUGUGGUAGGAGAAGGAGAACCGCGCCCAGUAUGCCUUCCCCAAAGGAAGGAGGUUUCGGAAGGACUCGACUAGGGUCCGGAACGAUGUAGCCUUUACCUUUAGGCCCCGAAUCGGAAAGGAUAGUUCAAAAAUAAUAUAAUGCCUGAGGACGGUGGGAGUCUUUCGUAUUGAGCUGCGGUUCUUGCUCGGCCUGCUGGGUGUCGGAAGAUUAGGCUAUCAAUGAGAGAAUGUGCCAUCCCUUGUCCCAGUUCUUCUUGUUGAAGCCGUUGGAGCAGCCGAAAGUUUCUAAUUUCAGCAAAGUGAUUUGAAAAAUCAAGGUCAUCUCAACGCAUAUUUCAUUGCACCGCGGAGUGGGGCGCAAGUAAAUCAAAGAAAAGAUGGCGGGUGCAGAUGUGCCAUAAGACAGGUCCGAAGGACAGACAGGCGCAUUGAAGAAUUAUAAGGGGACCAGAUGACGGGGAAUUUUGCGUGAGUUGCGUGAGAAAAGAAAUUAAUUGACUGGAUCUCAUAUGGAUUUCUUAGUCCUCCGGAGACGGUUCAUCUUUCUUUUUUAGUUCCAUUAAUCAGUCCUUCGGACCGGUAAGAGGUGCAAAGAUCUAUGGCCCACUACGGGGGAUAUUGUUCAAAAACAAAGGCUCAUCUUCAACCUUGUUUUUGAUGCGCUCAGGUAUUGCCAUUAGAAAAUUUCAACUUCGAAUUUCUUCUCUACUCAUUCAACUUCGAAUUAAGUUAAGAUCUCCAUUUGAGAAUUCAGAUCUCAGUCUGAGUAUGAGAUCGAUGACGCAUGAGUUCCAUCAAGGUGGUAACAAGAGAAGAGUUCCAGCCAGAGGAAGCAAGGUUUCAGACCAGUCUGAUUUAUGGAACUCAAUCUUUCUGGGAGUCUGAAUGUGGGCUAGUUUCAUGAGUUGGAUCGGAGAGAAGGAGCUGAGUUUACUCAAGGGAGACAUUUAAGCGGAAGCCUUGUGCAAAGAAUAUUGCGGUUCAGUCAGUUAAUAAGGCCCGAAGCGAAGCGACUGCCCACGUAGCGGUAAGGAGCGCAAAUCGACAAAGGAGUCCUUCUCCGUCCGAAGGACCAAACAAAAAUAGAAUGUGCUUCUCAUCUCAACAAGAGAAGAAAGAUCAGAUUUCUCAACUACUUAUUAAGAGAGAGAUCUGAACCUAAUAAAUACUGAAGAAAAGGCUAGAAGCGACUUAAGAGGAGGAACCCACUCAAAUCAAAGUCAGAAGAACCGAAAGCGAAGCGACUGAUCGAUUUCUUGCUAGGAAGAAGGGGAAAGUUCAGUCAGGAGCGGAGCCCCCCCUAGGAGAAGGAGUCCUUUUCAUAGAAAGGAAUCAAAUAGAACUACUCCUCUAUAUUAGAAUAGCGAAUAGUCCUUCGCCUAAUUCCGAAAACAAAAGUAAUAGUAUUCAUCUUUUCAUAGAUCGGUUUUUUAGUUCCUAUUUACUGAAUAUGGCAAUUAUAAGGGGUCCAGAUGCGCGAAGCGAAGCGACGGAUAGAAGGCGCAAAGAAUAUUGCGGUUUGGAGGAGUGCAAGGCGCAAAGAAUAUUGCCCUAUUUAAGGCCUUUGCUUUGGGAUCAUGACUCUCCGCAAUAUGAAAAGCUCCUAACGUCUCCUUUUAUAGCUUUAAUUAAUCAUGACUCGCUACAAUAUCCCUGUCUUAUGGAGCGGUCAAUGAAAUAUGAGAAAGAAUUUGAGAGGCGCAACUUAAGGACAUAGACAUUUGUGGAUUCUUCUUAAUCAGUUCAUUAACGAGAAUGAAAGAAGCUAAAAACAAAAAGAAUCUGCUAGAUUUCAGAUGAAUCCGCGGAGGGAAAUGCUAGGUUUUGGGCUCGACUGAUAAGGAGAGCUGAAAAGAAAUAGUAGCAAGAAAAGACAAAAAAUCAGUCAAAAAAGUACUUUUAUCGUUAAAUAGAAAUCUUCGAAAAAGUCCUAUUUAGAAGCAAAAAAGCCGGGAAAACGCAAUGAAAGAAGAACUCCUAGGACAGGUAAAAUCAAUGUCAGACUUCUAGUUUGAGUUUCUGGUCCGGAGAAAUACAGGUCUAUUCUUCUCAAUAUUCUUUGACCCUCCGUCUUCAAUCUCAAAAUCAAUGAAGGAGUACAAUGAACAUCAUAAGGGGACAGGUGACGGGGAGGCUGAAUUCAUUGAGAUUCUUAAGAAAUUGAUUAGACCACUUUUCUGGAGGGGUCCUACUAUCGUAGCAAGAGUAGCUGAAGUUGAAGUUCAACUUAAGGAUUCCCACGGAGCGGCCAUAAUAUCUAAAAGAAACUUCAGCAUUACUAGUCAGCCUCAUAAUAUAGAAGAUGAAAGUAGCGGAGGAGGAGUUUAUUGAAUCUGAUUUCACCUUCCUCUUCCAAAUCUACACUCAUUCAUUGAUCUAUUUUGAUCUAUAUUAUUCAUUCAAUCUCGCAAUAUGAACCUUCCUCUUCGAUAAUUCUUUGUUCUUUGUUCGCAACUCAUAUUGCAUUGAGCCUCGCAAUAUUCUUUGCGCCUUAACAUCCUUGGUCAACUCUUGGGGCAGUGGAUAGAGCUCGUCCCUAUUUGACUGACGAGGGUAGGGUUAGCUCUUAUGAGAAGUGCAGCUUGUUGACUGCCACAAAGCGGCUUUCCUCAGGCCUUGACUGUGGCGAGGCUACGCCUCUCUCAAGAGAAUCCGUUUUCCCGAAUCAAUGCGCGAAUUUCCUUUCCAUUCUAUCUCUUGGUUGAGAGAAAUGCGCCUGACUCGAUCGGUACCAGGGGCUAGCUAUUGACUUUGAUUCAUAGUAGGAAUAGGAAGAGAGACUCUUUGCAAUUCAGAUGGCUUUCUUCUUUCAUCGCCCCUUUCCCUUUCGCCCAAGGAAUCCUCUUCUUCGGCUCUGAGGCAAGAAGUCAGGGCUAAUUCUCAUCUCAUCCCGGUGACAAGUUGCACAUUCAAAAGUGAGUUCAGUUACUCUUAGCAACUCUUCGCGAACCUAUACUAGCUCCAAGAACUCCUCUCCUUGAAAGACAGGAUGAAUCUUAAGAGCAACUUUCAGUCUUAGCCCUAGCGUGGGUGAGUGGUAAGCGUAGGAGGCGAUAACGAAGGGCAGCGGCAGCAGUGUGUGUGGUUCCAGGUGCCGCCGCCUCAUUGAGAUCCGCAGGGGAGACUGAGAUUCUACUUAUGUAUGGGGUCGUAGGCUUAGUAGGGCUCGAACCUAGAAUAUCACCCUUAUCGUUAUGAGCGGUACCUUGAAAGCAAUGAAACUAUCCGUAUCUCUCUACAUGCAAUUCGCUCACUUCGGUAAGAGCGGACGAGGAGGCCUUUGCUCUCUCCUUUGUCCCAGGAAUGAAUUAAUAGCGAGACCGGAGGGAGAGGAAUGAAAUAGCGAGACCGCCCACGGAGCGGGAGAGGAAUUCUGAAUUGGAUAAAUACAAGAAGCAAGCGGCCCUUUCGCGAAAAAAACUGUCGGUACGCUUUCCGGCUUGCAAUGAUUCAAAGGGGCGGAGGCUCAGAACCUCAAAAUAAUACUGAAAGCCUAUCUUCGCUUUUAGUUAGAAGUAGAAGUAGAGGGCGCCCCCCACACUUCUCAAAAAGUAUGGAUGGAUUGACGAAGAAAAAAUACAUAAGGAGUCAGAAAGAAAAAGGUUCUUCAUCGAUAGUCGGACCUAUAUAUUCCACUGAUCAUGUUCCUGCUUUAUUUCAUAUACUUUACUACACCUAAAAAAUUCCUACCUCUUCCCCUUUCUGUCAAUCUUGCCAAUUCCGACUAAUGUACCCGAGUGCAUACAGUUGCCCAACUACUUUCUUUCUCCGACUUCUUUAGCCACUUUUCCGCAUCUCUUUUAUUCGAUUCGGGAGAGCUUGCUUCGUGGCGGAGCAUUUAGCAAUGCCAGCAGCCUAGUGAGGGUUGGCUGUCUGGGGACAGGUUAAGGCAGGGCCCGCUGCUUCCAUAAAAAAGAGAAGAAGAAGAAAGCCGGAGGUCAAGAUAGAUAUAGAAGGGAAGGAGCCCUCUCGCUUGCUUAGAUAGUUCCACCCCUGGGCUUUCUUCCGCUCCGUGGCUUUCUUUGUUCGGAACCUUCAGUAGUAAGAAGGUGAAAAGAAUAUUUCAUUGUCUUCUUCUUCUUCCUAUGCCUUAUUCACUUCCGCCCCGUGGGUCUGAAACUUCCUAUAUCCUCUUAUGAUACAAAGUCCUUAAGGACUCAAAUUCUCCAUAUUCUUUGUAUAUUCCGUCGGACUUCUUUAUAUCCGUCCGAAGGCAGGAAAAAUAGUAUUCAUCCUUGCGCUCCUGUUAAGGAGCAAAGAAUAUUGCGUUGAUGAGUGCAACUAAUUAAAUCAACCAUAUUAACUUCUCUCAAGUCUCCAACUUUUUUAUGGAUUCCUUCCAUCUCACCUUUACAGAGCAGCAGCUCUCCUUAUUUCAUUCCUCUGAACUCUCCUCGGUCAUCAGUAUCCUCGGACGGAAUGGAAUGACGGGCUUUGCACUCUGAUUUAGUAGGAGGAAAAGAAGUUCUCCCUCUGAUUUUAGGAGUUCAAAGGAGUGAACAAGUGGAAAGAAUGAAAUGGCUUUCCCGAUUCCGGGAAGGAGUUCAGCUGCGCAGAGUCCGACUACGCGGAUCGAAGGAGGAGCUUCACCGGAAAGAGGUUCGCAGAAGAAAAAUCAAGCUCCAGAUGAGUUGACAAAGGCUGAUCAAGUUUACCCACAGAUCUCAUAUCUUUAUGAAGAAAGAAAUCCCAUUCUUGCUCGAGCAGAAAGAAGAAAGAAGAGGCGCAAAGAAUAUUGAGAAGAUAAAGAAAGGCCUACCCCUCCAAAAUCAUUGAGGGUGAAUUCAGGGUCAUAGGGAGGGAAGCCCCACUCUUUAGUUUAGUAGGCUCUUUCCCUUCUUUAUUAGGUUAUUAGGAAGGAAUGCUCUAUUAUCUACAGGGAAGUAGGACCAUCCGCCAUCUGCUGUCUCCGCUGAGGAGGAAGGCUGAAGAAGGAUAGGGAGUCUUCUUCCACGAAAGAAUGAAGGUCUAGUUCAGAUCCAUAUCAAAAGAGUGAUAGCGACCAUAUGACCUGGAAUUCCUUUCUCCCUACUUCUUUCUCUAUUCUGAGUCCUCAACUUGCACUCCUUAACAGUCGCUUCGCUUCGUCCCUCUCCGGAAUUCUCUCUCCCUUCCUAUCCGAUUUACGGGGUUGAAGUAGGAAAGUAUUCUGAAUGAACUAGUCCAUCUCGAACUCGAGAAGACGGAGGCGCCCCCAGCUAUCUCUCAUAGGUCGGGGGAAUAGGGCAUGGCCCAGUCUCAGCACACCAAGCAAGAGCAGACUGCCUCGAAGAAAGGGUCGGGCAGAAGAGGGUUUCCGGCCAAACCCGGGAAUCAAGGUAUUUCAUUACUUAAUGAUUAGUCUUCUCCGUCACCGACCGACCGAGUGGGAGAGUCCGCCUUCCGAGCGGUUUUUGAUGACUGAAAUCUUAUCAUAAGUAAUCGCGCCUCUUUCUGUACAUUAAGCAAGGCGCUUCUAAUGGAUAGUCCGGAGGACGGGAAGAUUGCCACUUUCAUAUUUUCUUCUAAUAUCAAAUGAAUGAAGAAAGAGAAUUACUUAAUUAUGACUGCAGAUCUUUCUAAUAUCAAAUGAAUGAAGAGCACUUUCGCGCCUCACUACUACAAAAAGUUCCCCUUUAGGCUGAAUGAAUUGAGAAGAUGCGCCAUAAGACAGGCGCAAAGAAUAUUGCUCGAAGAGUGCCAUAAGACAGGGAUAUUGUUGAGAAGAAUAUUGAAUGAAUGAAUCUACCUUUCAAACUACUACUGCUACAGCUGAUUAAGUCGCUGCGCUCCAUCUUUCUUUCCUUCCCUUUCCUCCCCCUUCUCCCGCCCUGCCACUACUAGAAAGCCGGAAAGCCCGUUUUAACCCCUCUCGCGAUAUUAUCGUUGUUCAAUGAUUGAUUCAAAGAAUGAUCCCGAAAAACCAGAGUGAAUCCUAGCGUUGCCAACGGAUUGGGACAUUGUACUAAACGGCAUCAAUUGUAGGCACCCGUUCAUGAGCCCCUUAGUGGGUGGCCCUGGUCGACCCGGUCUUCGGACCUACGAUCAGGCUUGAACCUUCUUCCCCAUAAAGAAGAGAAAUCAGGCUAUUAAGGCAUGAAAUGCCCAACCCUAGCAUCUGCUGCCACUGCAACUGCAAAAGCAAGAAGAAAAGAACAAGGGCGGAAACUAUCCCCCGGGAAGUUCAUAACCUUCUGUGUUUUAAACAAAGGAGCGCAUCAUGAAAGACGAAUGAGAUCAAUCUCUCUCCCAAAUCUCUCUCUUCAGACAAAGACGAAAAGAGCUUGAUUUUGCAAAUUCUUUUUCUGUCAAAAUCAGGAAGAUCAUAUGAGAAGAUUAUGCCUCCAACUUUUUGAUGGAUGCCUUCUAUCCUUUCUUUAUCUUUCUCGUAAACUCACUCUCGCAGCUUAGCUUCGCUUCCUCCUUUGCUUUGGAGUUGUCUUUCUUCUUUUCUUGUCUUCUUUGUAAUAGUCUUACCUACGGCAACUCAUAUUGCAUUGAGCCUACUACGCCUUCUACGGGAGUGGGGAGUAACCUAAUAAAUACUGAAUAAGACUCUGUAGGAGCCGUAGGAGAAGUCCUUCUCCUCUAAGAAAAAAGCCUAGGUCAAAGAACAAGCAUCAGUGUCUUUCGGUUGCCAAGAACAAGUUUCAUCGGAAGUCAGAUAAGUAGAACACCGAGGUAAGAGGCGCGAAGAGGGAAUAUAAAUAGUCAGACUAAAGGGUUCAGCCGACCGAGUGGGAGAAAGAGACCGGCGAGAAAGGUAGGUUUGAAUAGAAGGAGCUAGCCCACUAGAAUAGGGCUUAAUAGAAUAUUCUAGAGCUAACCCCAUAGGGUGCAGAACGACUGGGUAGAUCUUUGAGAAGAUCAGUGCUGAUGGGAGGGAGAUCCGUUCCGUAGACCGGAAAUAAUACGACUUCUCUGAGGUAUGGUAUUGCUAGCUUGCUUACUCUGAAUAAGGAGUAGGCGCGGGCGGCCCAGUGUCUCGGUUUGCCGCGAAAGAGAAUUCCCCCACCAGGUUGAAGUGCACGCCAAUGUAGAAUCCCUCGUAAGGAAGCAAGAUUGAAUGUCAAAUCAAAUCAGUCUAGUCUAUUUCCUAGAAAAUGACUUUUCUUUUCGAUGUGCGCAUAAAUACUCCUUUAAUGGGUUAAACCAGGUGGAUCGGCACAUAUUUGGAGUAGGUAAUGAGUACACUUCAGCCGCGUAGAAGGAGUCUUCUUCCUCUCGAGUGGAGUUUCUUUCCCCUUACUGACUACUGGGACGGGAGGAUUCGAACCUCCAAAUAGCGACCACUGCCCGCCCCAUUCAAGACCUUGAUCAUAGUACACUUCCGGAACAAGAUCUCAUACAGCGUAGACCCCUACGUCUGUCAGGUCGAUCCGGCCUCUUUAUCUGACUCAUUCCGAUCGAGACGGAUUCCUAUGCGGAUUUUUUUGAUUCUAUAUUACGAAAGACAGAUCCAGCCGCGUAGGAGGCGUAGGAGGCCUCCGCUAUAUACUCCUCCGGUUUUCAGACUCAAAAACAAAGGUCCAGAUGACUGAUUUAUUCCACUGAAGCUCGUCGGUCGGUCGGAAGCGAUAUAGCGAUAUUGGCUCUCCCGAUAGAACCCAAAAUCAGGCGAUCGACGGUCCGUCAGAGGGAAUGAAGUAGAAAAAGUCUUUAGAGACCUGAGUGGCUCUGUUCCGGUUGAGCCUGUAGCCGUUGUCACAGCUCUUUGAAAGAAGCUAUUUGAGAAAUAUGUCACAAGUAAGAAAUGGAUGAAAUAGCUAGACAAGGUAGAAGUUAGAGGCAGGAGAAAGAAAGUCCCAAACGGAACUCCCCAACACCAGCAUUGGAUCUCGCAGGGAAAUCAUCCAAAGAUCCAUACUGGAAGAAAGAGCCUGUUCUUCUCACUUUCGACGUACAUUAUCAAAGAGAGAGAUAAGAAAACCCCUAGAAAGUCGCUAUCCUCCCAAUUAGCUUAGGAAGGAGAGUCCAGAAGACGUACUCAUUCCCUAUGUUUUGAAUAUGUGCACCUCGGCACAAGGCCCCGUUCCAGUUGAUGAAGUGGCAGGGGAAGUCAGUUCCCCCUUAAGAUCUGUCCUCGCUCUUGUUCUUUAAUAAGAUGCUUAGUUUCGCCUACCCCAUGAAUUUGGGGAUUUGACCUCUCCGUCCGAAGGACUCCUACGUCGAUUUGCGCUCCCAGAGUAAUGUUUAUAAUAGUCUGUAAAUCAUUCAAAAAACAAAGGUCAUCUGAAACCCUUUUUUUGAUGCGCCUCAGGCGCAAUGAAAUAUGCGAGUAGGCUGAAUUCAUAUGAGUUUAAGUAGGCGUAGGCGCGAAGCGACUCUUAAGGAGUGCAAGUUGACCUACUAAAUGAGGCGGCUCUUGGACAAGUUCGUCAUUCGAUAGGAAAUAGGGUGCUCCACCAGGAUGGACAAAGGCUCGGCUUCCAGGUACAUUGGGGUAGACUGAAAGAAAGAGGAGAAAAGCUCUCAAUUGCUUAUGAGCCCUUAUCCAAGAAGGAAGCUUUUCUCUUAAAGGAUUCCACCGCGUGAUCUCCUUUCAACUUUCUCUCUUUCCAAGGCAAGGAUUGACCCUCUUUUCUUGGGUUGGGUAGCAGUUCUUCUUUCAGUUUCAGCGGGAGAAGUUCGUGCUUUUCUUGCAGCUGACCGCUCCGUGGGCUCUGUCCCAAGCCUCUGCUACCAUUCAAAAAGACCCUGACUCCUGAAACCCUGGAUUGGCAGGGUGAAGAAGAUUAUAAGUCGGCUCAUCAUUCUAAGGUCCGGAGGCUCCGUAGGAGUUGAGAGGUUGCUGCGAGACAAAACUCUUCAUUCUCAGCUUCCGUUGAGUAAGUGCUUUCCUCUUCCUGAACUUUUCAUCGAUCAGUCGCUUCGCUUCGCGCCGGAGGACGACUGAAAGGAGAGGCGCAAAGAAUAUUGCGGAAAUAUGCAUUGAAUAGGCUCAAUGUAAUAUGAGUUGACGAAAAGAAAAAAGAAAAGAAGCUCAUUAACGACUAAUGGAUAAAGAAGUCCUUCGGACGGAACAUGGGAAUGAAAAAUGUGCAUCUUUGUGCUAGAUUUCAGAUUAAUCCGCGGAGGGAAAUACAAGAAAAUGCUAGGUUUUGCCCAUAGGGAAGUAGCAAGAAAUCAAGUCAAAUGCCUUCUUUUUCACUCAAUUAUCGUAGAAUAUCCAUAUGAGAAAAAGUAUGAAAAAGAAGCAAAAAAGCCGGGAAAACGCAAUGAAAGAAGAACUCCUAGGACAGGGAAAAUCAAUGAAGACUUCUAGUUUGAGUUUAUGGUCCGGAUACUGACGGGUCUAUUCUUUAUUUCACUCCAGGUUAUGAAAGAAAAAUGAUUCUUGAAUUCGAGUGAAUGAGUUCAUUCUGCUUUCAUUCUCGUUAAUGAGCUUCUUUUCUUUUCUUGACUUUUGUUUGUGCCAUAAGACAGGUCCUCCGGACUAUCCAUUAGAAGAAAGGUUAGAGCAAAAACCUUCAGUCGUCUAUUUGUCAAAUCUUUCCCUUCUGAAAUCAGACUGAGUACAUAGAAGUGCGAAGGAGCGAAUCGACCAAAGAGAAUAGGAGCUAUAGAGGUUUGGCCUACAACUACUAUCCAUUUGUUGCCUUAGUCAGAUAGCUGACUUUUAGGCAUAGCAUUAGCAGUCGAGGAUCACAUCUCUGUCAAUCAGUUUCAAGCAAGAAAGGACAAUUCGCAGAUGCGGGGAAUCGGACCCACGGAGCUUUAGACAUAAAGAAACCUAUCCAGCGGUAAUAUAGAUCAAAAUGCAAUUCCGACUUUCUCAAAUUCUUUGAGCAUCGACCGCCUUGAUUUUUCAAUCUUCUUUCUCAUAUUCAUUCACCCGCGUAGUGGGGAGCUUUCGCAAAUUCUUUGCGCCUAACUCUUUAAAUAGAGUGUCCAGCUGAGUCAGAAACCGCAUCUUUGCAACCUUUGGGAUCAUGAAUCUUCAACCUUGUUUUUGAAUUGAGCCUAACGGAGGAAGAAUAUUGCGAUGAAGAAAGGUCACUGAAAGAGGAAGGGGAAUGACCAUUCAGAGCAAGAACAAGACUAUCUCUUAGACUGUCAAAAGUAGCUCGAUCGGGAGCCAGAUAGGGAGCCCCAGGCGAAGGACCAAUUCAGAGCAACUGAAAUAGGAGACUAGCCCUAGCUAGAACUUGAGAAUCUAGGAUCCUCGGGCUGGUGGGGCACCCCUUGAAUUAGUUCUUGCGGAUGCAGCACUAUCAGUCCUUUCUCCAAAAAUAGAUCGCACUCCGCGGUAAAAGGCUUUAUUGUAAAGCAAUUAUGAAUAGAUUGAAUGAACGAGUAUAAUAAAUGGAAGGGAUGAAAUAAGGAUUGGAUUCUCCUACAAUAAUCAGUCAAAGGCUGUACACUAGGCUGGGGCCAAAGGAAACUCGCCACGACGAGGGCGCCGAAGUAAAGCAAUCUCUCUUUUUCCGUCGGCCUUCUGAAUUGAUUGACUUUUCCAAACUAGUAAAAAGACUAGAAGCACCGGUGGCAACCAGGUCUUUCCACUACAAGGGGAAAGGGCUAGACGACUAAGAAAGUCUCUUUAUUCUGAGGAUCAAGGCUCAAGCGAGGUUACGAAGCCCACGGAGCGGCAGCUGCCCUUUCUGCUCUUCCCCUUCUUGUAAGGCUCUUGCUCUCUCUCUUUCCUUCUUGCUUUUCUUCUUGCUAAAGCUUCUAUUCAAGAUAACUCAUAAAUCAAAGAUCAAAGAUUCCCGAACCGAAAAAUCAAGCUCCUUACAACGCAUAUUAUAUUCUAUCCUCGGUGCAACUUCUCUCAAAUUCUUUGAGCCAAGGACGUGAAUUUGGAUCAUCGGCGUAAAAGCUAAGAAUUCAGGCUUGGGCUAAUAAUUAGGGGAGCUCGGUACUUCGGACUAUUUUAGCUCGGCUCCUUACUCCGUCUUUAGGGGAGCUCGGAGAUUUCCUCUUGAUAUGGUUCCGAGGGAGUUGUCCGGUUUCCGGAUUUAGGAAGUAGAUUGGCCUUUCAGGUUUCCUGCUUUCUAGCUCGGUACUUCUUCCUUGCUCCGAAUCGGCCUUUUAGUAGCUCGCUCGGGAGCCUUUCUAUAAUAUAAUGGGAUUGGGUAUCGUCCCUUUGACUCUUUAUUUAGGAAUGGUAUCAGCUGCGCUUUUCCGUAUUUCUUUUCCCCUCCUAGUAGACUCUUCCUUAGAACUCCCUUCAUAGGAAAGUAGCCGAUAGGGACAUUGGGUUCGGAGCCCAUCAAAAUCUCAAUCGCAUAUUUCAUUGCGCCUCUUCUUAUUUUAUUCUUUUUCUUUGAUUUUCUUGUUCGUUCAAUUGGGAUCGAGCCGAAGCGUCAUAGUGAAACCUUGUGAAUUCAGGCUAUCCCGUUCUUGGAAGAGGAGAAUUCGAUCUUUCAUGAGAUCUUUCUCUUUGUAUUCAUACAUUAUUCUAGGAAGAAGUCCCAGCUGAUAGGGAGGAAGAAAGUCAAUGAACAAGGCUCAAAGAAGAUUGAGAAAGAGAGAGAGUCAGCUAGACCGAUCUACGCCGCUUGGGACCGAGUUUCAGCUUCUGAGUUGGAGUUUGACGGGGAAUGAGAUAGGGUAGAAGCGUGAUCACUAGAUCAAUAGGAAGCUCCCCCGGCCGAAAAGGGAGGUAUGAAGUUUACCAGAUUGAGUUCUUUCACAGGUAACUGAGUAAUUCUCCAAAGUCAGGUAAUUGUCUCUUGAGUCCGCUCUUUCAAGGUAAUGAGAAAAUGAGUUGGAAGCAUCAAAGACUGAGUCAUCCAGCAAGGCCAGCCAGCCGUGAAUUAGUAUGGUCGGUCGGAAGGGAUAUAGCGAUAUUGGCUCUCCCGAUAGGCUAGAAUAAUCUUAUAGAGCGGUUAUCGAAUCUUUCCCGAGGUGUGAAUAUACUGAGUCAAGGACGAAGAAUGGAUCCCUUUCGGUAGAGCUCAGUGGGAAAGGUAUAAAGGGAGGAUCAUUCAUCAGACUGAGUACGGUCCCCUGAAGUAGGGGAGUCAGCCGGGGAAUCUCUCUAAGCCCAAGGUUUUGAAGUGACUGACUUUACUCUUCAUCACGAUACGGAGCGGUAUUCAGCAGCUAUACAGAGUGGGAAAGGUUAUCAUCGCUUUCAUAUUUUUUCCAACAACAGGCGCGGGUUUCAGAUGAGCUUGAUUUUUCAUUGAGGCGGUAGGGGGUAGGUACAAUGGGGACUCCCAAAAGAGGAAGCGGAUGACGAACUUUCAGGGGAACGAAGGGAAGGCCCCAGGGUCGGUCGGCAUGGCAUCGGUUGGUGGCAGAACCUGAGCCACCCCUUGAGUCAAAUGAGAAGUUUCAUAGGUGCCAGUUGACGAGGAUAGAAGUGAUAUUAUUUGUUUCGGGAGAGGGGCAGGCUGCAGAGUAGACGAGGGGAAGGAGUGCAAGUGCUCAAAUAUAAAAGCAGGGAGACUAAGAAAGACCGGCCGUUCAUUAGUUAGGAACAAAGGUAUGAAUUAGACCGAGCCCUAGCUUCUGGAGUACGAGACACCCCUAACCCGAACCUAGGCUUUCUCUUUCUUUUCUCGUAGAAGGAGGCGCAAAGAAUAUUGCAAAUAAAGGCUCGGCUUUCUAUUAAGGAUCAAUUCAAAGUUCAGCGGGAAGGUGCAAUAAGACAGGUCCGAAGGCGCCAUAAGACAGGUCCGAAGGACUAUCCAUUUGAGUUGCGUGAGUUGACUGGUCCGAAGGCGUCACAGGUUAAUAUGGAUAGUCCUUCGCAAAGAAUUUGCGCCUAACGUCGAAUAAGAAGCUGGAGGCUGGGUGAGGCGCAAAGAAUAUUGCGAUGUAGUUCAUAUAGACCUUUGUUUUUCUUCCGUCCGAAGGCUAGGCGCAAAGCUCAAAUACUUUGAUCCUAUUAGAUUAUGCUGAAGGAGGUUCAUCUUUAGGAAAUCUGAUUCCAUAGGUGAUGACCGGAGAUAGAGAUGCUGUCGAGCUACUAAUCCGUCUCACCUUGAUCCUGAACGGAGACGGAUGCCUAUUCCUCAUACUCUUCAUCGAAUCCAUAUCCUAUCUACUGAAUAGUGAUUAGAUAAGAGAGGAUAGCGGCUUAGUCGAGAUGGGAUAGUUCUUCGACCCUUGACUCCUUUUCAUUUAGAAGUCAGGCCUUCAACUCGAGGUUCAGACUAAAAAAAAGGAGGCCUACGAAGCCUUAAGCUACUUUACAGGAGUGCACUCACGUCCAAAGGUUCAAAGAAGAAAUCAUGCUGCCUUCUCUUUCCAUGCAUUCCAUUACUGAAUAAUGAAAGAUCUCUAAGCCCUACGUGGGCUGCAACGGUCUCUGGGCGAAGACCGAUCGAUCCGACCGAGGACGACUCUCCUCUGUCCCCCAAGCUUAGCGAAAAGACGAUCUCCUCUGAUUCGUAGGGGAUUGGUUGAGAAAGUAGGAAUGAAGUCAGCUUAUUCCAUAAAUAUGGGUCGGUCCCUUCCUAUCUGCGCUGGUGGUCGUAUUCUCGUAAUUCAGCCUUGAAUCAGGCCUUGGGAGCAGCCAAAGUUCAGCCAGAUUGCUCAUCUUAUACAAGUCCGAUAGAGUCUCUAUCCGGGGGGGCUUACUUACCUUGAUUCCCUAUAAGCCUUUUCUUCUGGUCUCGCGGUUGAUUGAUCCAAGGCUGAAGGAUAAUCUUCCCGGGUCCAGGUUCGGCUGGAUUCAUUCCCCGUCUUUGAAUGAGCAAAAAGAAAGCUCCAGAUGAGUUGAGCAUUUAGAAAAUGAAGAAAAUGCAUGGUUUGGGCCUAUAUGGAAGGCAAGAAAGAAAUAGAGGUAGUUAACUCAUUGAUAAUCAAAGUAGAUAGGCUUUUUCCUUCCAUUUCGAAGCGGGUGGGUUUACAUCAUUCAUUCAUGGUGGAGAAGUUCUUGUGAGCAUUAAGACAUUGAAUUUGGUGUAUUACCGCUACGUGGGCAUUCGGAAGGAUGAUCACCUUACCACGAGGCCCCAUUCCUUUCUUCUCCCUCUCUGUGGCUGGAAAAAUCGGGUAGGCUUCCCCCCGAGCCCGCCCAUCCAUAAAUAAAUAGAGAGAAGGCUCAAAGAAUUUGAGGAGUCAGAGACAUAAGGAUAGGCAGUGGCAGCCGCUCUUGAAGUUAGUCUUGGAGCAUCCAAGGGAAGUUUCUGUCUCAGUUUCGAAGUACUAUUUAUUAGGGAACCGAAUGAGAGUAGGACUAGCCAUAGAACAAUUAUCGUUAGGGUCUUAUGCUCCUUCGUUAUGCUGCUUGACCGUAUCGGAUAGGAUAGAAGCUUUCCCUAGGUCGGAAGCAAGAUCGAAUUAUGAGUAGGUUUAGGAUGAGCUACUUUGGAGAGCAUAUUCCGAGCUCUAGUCGGCCUGCGGAGAUUCCUCGGUGGAGCUACCCUCUAUCUAAGAUAAAAGAGAACCUUUCCCGUAAAGAGAAAGAUCGAAAAUCUCUUUCCUUAUUCACACCUAUCCCACUGGGGAAGUUCCACUCUAGCUCCUUGUAAACUCGGAAAAGCUGAUGAUAACCUGCACCCUAUCGAAACCUCUCCUGUAAGUCUCGCUUAGCUCUGAUCAACUGAUAGAACUCCGUCUGAUUUUGCACUUCUUCUAAGUCCAAGUUCGGAACUAAUGUGCGUAGGACCAAUCCGAAACUCCAUAAAAUCAGUGAAUAAGGAAUCCUUCCUCUUACUAGUAAUCCUGAAGUUUGGCUCGCCCAUAAUUGAAAGGGAGAAAACGACUCAAAAAAAGAGGUUCAAAGAAUAUUUCAGACUCCCACGGGGCGGAGAGGUGCAAAGAAGAAAGAAGAGAAUGGCGAUCAGAAGAUUGAGAAAUCCAUUAGAAUGAGCCUCAUGGGACUAGCGCGUCAGAAGAAGAGGAGCGAAGGACCCAGUUGGCUAGGAGUUAUCGGAUUCCCAUAUUAAGCUACGGAGGCCCAAAGAAUAUUGCGGAGAAGAAGAUGUCGGUAGCUCUUUCAAAAAAAGGUAAUUCAGUAUACGAAAAGUCAGAGAAGAGAACCACCUCGUUCGAGAGGAGCGGGCGACCCUCUCUUUCAUAGUCAAAUAAAAGCCCAUUAUAAUAUAAGGCCCAAAGAAUAUUGCGAGGAGCCUCAACUCAUAUGUAAAAGACCUGUCCUCAUGCAACGUCCAAACAAGGAGAAGAAAGCCAGGAGAAAGCAAGGUGCUUUAAGAGGGAGAGCUUGACUCUGUGCUAUAGUCCCUCUCUUCCGUAUUCAAAGUGACUUCGUUCGGGAUCCGGAACGAGUAUGUACUGCAUUAUGCUCAAUCCCAUAAAUCAUCCUUUGAAGGCUUGAAUGAGGAUACUGAAACUAGAAAGCUUCUCCAGCGUCUACUUCCUCAACCACAGCCACCGCUGAAAGAACUCAAUCUGGAUCCCGUAGUUAGGAGCAUGAUUUAUUUAUCAUAUCAGGCCUUGAUUCCCUAUCAGCCUGAACUUCCUGAACCUUGCAUAACCUUUUCCUAUAUGGAAAAAGAAAGAAAAGAAGAAAGACGAUAAAGCAGCAAGGGGUGAAGCCAAGCGAGAGUUAAGGAGCGCAAAUCUCCUACGGAGCGAGAAAGCAAGCGAUUCGCCGACAAAGCAACUUUGACUAAAAGAAGAAACUACUUAUUAAGAGAGAGAUCAACUUAUUGGCCGAGAAAGAAGACUAUCGACAAGGAAUAAGACUCACUCCUACUACGCCAAAGGAGCCUUCUGCCCACGUAGCGGUAAGGAGCGCAAAAUCAGACUCUGUCUUCAGGCUAAAAAAGACUGCAGAAAGCCUAUCCAAGUUUCAGUGGAAAAAUCAGGGUCAGGACGUGUUGAUGAUGACGAAGAUUAUCCAAAAGACCUAAAAAGUACCAAUCUGACUCCUCCGUUCUAAUCUCAAAUUCUGAUCGCCAUUCUCUUCUUUCUUCUUUGCACCUUCGCAUAUUGAAUUGCGCCGGAGGACUGUGAAAAGUCAAGAAAAGAAAAAAGAAAAGAAUAAUUAACUCAUUAACGAUAAUGAAAGAAUCAUUAUGAAUCUGGUAGAUUGAAGAUUUCAGACAUCUUUGUGCUAGAUUUCAGAUUAAUCCGCGGAGGGAAAUACAUGAUUUUGCUAGGUUUUGCCCAUAGGGAAGUAGCAAGAAAUCAUGAAAAAUCAGUCAAAAUUGAUCUAUUUUCGUUAAAUAGAAAUCUUCGAUUUACUAUGAAAAAGAAGCAAAAAAGCCGGGAAAACGCAAUGAAAGAAUCAAGCCUAUAAAAGAAAUUCAAUGUGCAAACUUCUAGUUUGAGUUUCUGGUCCGGAUACUGACAGGUCUAUUCUUGAUUCCGCUCCUGAAUAUGGAUAGUCCUACUUCCUUCCAUAUGGAUGGUCCUACUUCGGUUAAUUACGGAUGGUCCUACGGAUAAAUCCUCCGGACUACUUCCCUCCAUAUGGAUGGUCCUACGGAUAAAUCACCUGGACCUUUCUUUGGCCCUGCGGACGUAGGACCCUGGACCUUUCUUUGAUGGACCCGAAAAGCAAAUUUCUUUAUUCCUUCCUCCGGUCAAUGAACUCAACUCAGAACUCAGAGCGGAAUCAUAAAAUGAGAUUGACUCUCUAUCUCUUUCGGGAAGAAGUACGUAGUUAACCGUUUAGGAUUGGGCCCCCAGUAAGAAAGAAUGAUAAGUCGGGUCUAUCAGUCUGAGAAUUUCAUAAUUCCUAAAGUGGGGCGCAGUUGAAUGAGAAAGAAUGAAAUGCCAAUCUCGCCUCAUUGUACUACGAACCCUUCCCACGAUUUGAUCUUAGAGUCGACUCCUUUUGUCCUACCGCGCCUUAGCUUCGGAUCGCAUGCUAUGCUAUCAGCCACGGUAUUUUAGAGUCCUUGUUCUCCUUUGGCGAUCAGGUAAGACCGAAUGGGGACGGUCAACUUCUCACUUUUCCAGUAUUCCUUGCUCGGUUGACUGGAAGAAGAAAACGGGGAUGCCCUAUAGACCUCUCUGACCUUUCGUAGCCAUAUGAACUGGGUGCUGCGAAGCGCAAGAGCGUAUCGAGAGAGGAUAUUUAGAGAAUUCCCAUGCUAUUCUUUCUUCUUCCUUUACUGCAAGCUAGUGACUGAGUCCAAAGCGGAGAGAUAAAGGACAUCCGCCACCUCGCUCGAUAGAAGAUAGAAAUUCAGUUAUCUGAAUCCAGCAGGCUUGGGAUUUGAUCCACUCGAUAUAGGGAACUCGCUCAGAAAAAUCCUUAGGAGCAUAAUCAGAAUUUCCAGUAGCGAAGUAGGAGAUGGUAGGCAUCAUGUCCAAAGAUCCGCGGUUAGUGAUCCUCACUCUGCAGGAUGCGAUCAGCAAACCGAUAAGAGGUACUAAAUCCGACUCUAUUUGGCAAGGGUUCGAGCCCAGCUCGUGACAAGGCCUUCGGUCGAGCUGUCCAUUUCAAAGACUGAUGAUAUGUAGAAGACCCCAGAUCAGUCUCCCUGGAUUGAAGGUUGCCUUGAGGACAUGGAACUCUGUCGCUGAGUGGACUCACUUGAAGUAAAAGGGUAAACUUGCCCCUUUCUCUAAGAAAGAUAGUAUGCUCUUAUUGAUGCAAAGGAUGGGGAGAGAUUCUUUCAAACCGAGAGUUUGGACACAAAAGAGGUUUUUUCAACUAUUCAUUGAAAGGAAAGGGGGAGCCGCUAAUUAGAACUCGAGGGUCAACUCCUGAGGGCAACUAAGCAGCGAGACCAGUCCUCCGGUCUCUCAAUUCACUGCUCUUAACUAUUCCUUGCUCCUCGGGUCAAGAUGCGCCAUAAGACAGGUCCUCCGGACUGCGACUGAGGCGCAAUGAAAUAUGCGAGGAGAAAAGAUGGAAUUUUCUUGCUUAAGCACCUAGCAUCUCAUCACAAUACAAGCUAAAACCACUGAUGAGUCAUAGCUUUACGAGAUAGCAGUCUAUAAAGAGAAUAAGAAGAGAAUAAGAUCUUAUUCCGCUUUCUAGACUCCUUUCAUCUUCUCCCAGGCAAACUGAGCUCACUAGCUUGAUGCCCAGCUCUUGCUUUUUCGAAUUCUAUGAAAUCCCUCAAAAUAGUACUUAUGACUGAGUUGGGACAAUAACCUAUGGGAAGGAUUGAUUUGAGGAUGAGGCAUUAGCAUACUGACUCGCCUUCUUCCUUCUUAGUCCAAUCUCGAAUGGAACUUUGUUUGAGGACUCCUAGAUAGGAAAUGAAUCAAAUAAGUAAGCUCUUCUUUCAUUUCUUUGGGUUACUGGCGCACAAUAUCCCUUUCUUAUGGAGCCUUGUUCCUCUCCUUUCAGUCUCGCCCUUGAUUUUAGCAAGAAAUCCAAGAAAUCUAAGCUGGUGUAUUGAUUUUUUUUGGAAGAAAAUAAAUCUAGUGUGUGCGAGCUUCAAUCUUUUCUUUUUCUUUUUUUCAAAUUCAAAUUCCAUUUUUUUCUCAAAAAGCCGCUCCACGGUGGUAAAGUCUCAUCUUGUGUCUUGGCCGAAGUGACAAUAGUCACAUGGAACCCUAGAGUAUUAGAGAAGAUCUCAAAAUGAUCUGCCAGUUCCGGGAAGAAUUCGAAAAACUCCGUUUCCAUCGGGAAUUGAAUGGAGUUUUUCCGUAUUUCGCCCGGAGAAUUUAAGAAAGACAGUACUAUUCCUAUAAUUAUUUUGAAAAAAAAAUGAAACAUUGAAUGCCCUCGGAGAGUGCUUUCUCGUGCUAGGUCACUGACAUAUCCUUUGUCUUUAUUUGACUCCAAGAAUGGAUUGGAUCGAAAGGACUUUCCUGUCGAACCCCUUGUCUGUAUCAAUUUCUGACCGCGCAGAAUCUCCAUAGCCAAUUUUCCAUUUUUGCUUCUGAAAUCAUAGGGUUCCUUUGGCACGACUCUUAUUUCAGACGAUCCAGGAACUUCCAUAACGUUGGUGUAAUUCAGUUUGAGCAACGGCUCCUGACGUGAUAUAUCUUCGUAAUGAAACUGGAGUUGUAGGCUCGGACCCAUUCCUAAGGGAAAAGAGGGCCCCAAGCUUAUAUACCCCCGGACAGGGAGGUCUAGAAUUCCACAGCGAUGAAUGACCCCAGAUAAGGCCAGUUCUGGGAGACAGAUAAGGGGAUUGAGUACAGAGAUGCAAUGAAACCGGGUGUGAAUCGGGUACUCGCCUUAAUUAUGAGAGGCUGAACAAUCCUCUUGCCCAAAUUGACCAGAAUGAAUGCAUCUUGCUUUCUCUGGACAGGGCUCAAGAGUGAACAGUGGAAAAAAAAGACUGGUGGAGAAGUGGCUAUUAAAAGGUUUGAGAGGGCCAAUGGAAUUGAUGCGAAAUCCUUUUUCCUAUAGUCAAUGCCCACGGAGCGGGUUAGUGGAAUUAAGAGGUCCGACUAGAAACUGAAAGGAGUCAAUAAACAAGGUUCAAAGAAUAUUGACAGAUCCAUUGAGGCGGAUGAAUGAAGAAAAAAAGGACGAAAAAGAAAGGUCCAGGCGCAAAGAAUUUGCGAAGAACUGUUGUUGAGCUAUUCUAAAAUAGUCCUUCGCCUAAGAGCGCAAACCAAAGGCAAAGGCUCCAUAAGACAGGGAUAUUGUAAGGCGGUCGAUGACCAAAGUCAAAUUAUCUAAUGGAUAGGCCUUCUGACAGGCAAUAUUCUUUGCGCCUUGCACUCCUCAGCAAUAUUCUUUGCGCCUCCGAAUUUCAUGCGCCUCAACUCAUAUUACAUUGAGCCUCUCACGCAAACCCGCAAUAUUCCGCAUUGAUCCUUCGCACCUUUCAGUCGUCCGGAGGCUCUUUGAAUUUGAUAUUGCGGAAAAGAAUAUUGAAGCAAGGCGCAAUAUUGCGACUGCCGGAGGACCAGUCUCGGCGAAUAGGUUUCAUUCUCGAAAGAAUUAUCGAAGCGACUGAGUUCUAUUCUAAUGGGGAUCGUUGGGGAAUCCAUAUAUAAAGAGUAGUCUAUAUAUUCUUUGCGCUCAUUGAUAAGGGCAAAUUUCAUUGAUCAGUUCUUCCCGUGUAGUGGGCUGACUUUUUUGAAGUGGAAGGCAAUAUUCGAUAAUUAGGUUUCAGGCAAUAUCAAUAUUCUGCUUUCACGCAAUAUUCUUUGCACCUAACUAUUCCUUGCUCCUCCGGAGGGGUCCAGAUGCGCGAAGCGAAGCGCAUUUAUCUAAGAAAAGAAGAAAGGGUCCAAGAAUAUAUAGAGUUUACAAAUUAGGAGAAAGAAAGGCGCAAAGAAAGAAGCUCAUUAACGAGAAUGAAAGAAGAAUUAUGAUUUCAGACAUCUUUGUGCUAGAUUUCAGAAUAGACCUGUAUUUCUCCGGACCAGAAACUCAAACUAGAACUGAGAAAUGUGAAUUGACUGUCCUAGGACAAUGAAUGAAUUGCUAUUUCCCGGCUUUUUUGCUUCUAAAUAGGACUAAAUCAAAGAUUUCUAUUUAACGAUAAUUGAGUGAAAAAGAAGGCAUUUUCAUGAUUUCUUGCUACUUUAUAGGCCCAAAACCUAGGAAUUCACUCCGUCUUCAAUCUAGCAGAUUCAUAAUUCUUCUUGAAUUCGAGUUAUGAAAUCCUAAUUAUUCUUUCAUUCUCGUUAAUGAGUUAAUUAUUCUUUUCUUUUUUUCUUGACUUUUCUUUGUGCCAGUCCGAAGGACGGAUAAGUUCUUUCUUUUGUUGAAGCAGAAGUAGGGCUGCAGAGGAAGAAAUGUUCUAAGUCUCGGAAAAAGUAGAAGUAGGCAGACUGGUAUCAUACAACCGAGUUGGAUCGGGCCCUUCCUGCUAUCCACUGAAAUCGGCAGGCAGUACUCAAGAUUCAUUCUCCCUUUCACUCUUUGAUUAGUCUCUUUUUUCUUAAAGGUAACUGAGAUCGGCAGAAGAAGAAGGAGUGUGAAAUUCUUCUUCUUGUUAGAAAAGAAAGCACCAUCUCCGGAUAGAACCUUCUUUUUCUAGGGCCUUUCCUACGAUCCCCAGCCCAGAGAAUGAAAUCUUCUCUUUUUAUGUAUAAAUAAAAGAGAGCUGCUAAGAAGUUCGCUCUUCCAUUGGUCCCUAUCUUUUCUUAUGUGCGUCGGACUCUCUCUUUCUUCCUUGAAGCCCUUGUUCAUUGACUUAUUCCUUUUUUUCUUCAUUCAUCCGCUACUUUCAUCCGUCCGAAGGACUAUUCGCUAUUCUAAAUAGGUUCUCCGGAACUCAGUAAGAAAGCAAUGUUCAUUGUGGUGUAUGGAAUUGUGGUAGUAGUCUAAUCAGCAGCUCAAUAUUCUUCUUGACUUGAAGAACUAUAACAUAAUGCUUACUACUAGUAAGGAAAGAGGCUUGAAGAGGAAUCUUAUCAAGUUGUGAUUCUAGUCACUCUCUCUCAAGCGGACAGACCGCAUAGAAGAUCAAUUACACAAGAUGCAAUUAGGCCCUUUGUUCAUUGAGGCGGUUUUCACUUCUCUUUCGGUCUAGUAGUAUUGUAAUAGCCAGGGAGCAGCACAAGGAUGCAGCAAGACAUUUCCACCUUGCUGUACUGAAUGAGAAUGCCUCCCGAUAUAAUGCUGUUAAACUAAUUAUAUCGGACAGUGUGAGAUUGAGCUUGGUCCACCCUUUGUACGUAUGUGACAAAGCAAGACAAAAGACCUUAUGUGAAAGAGAUCCCUCCAACAGAUACUCUGGGAGGCCAGUGCGGCUUUCAAGCACAAGAAGGUCGAAAGGCUGGCAAGCGAGCAGGAGCGGGUGGAUAUCCUCUUCCAGAGACUUUACGAAUACGAUGAUUGGAUGGAGCUAGAAGAGGAUCCCGAUUUCAGAAAGGCCCUCUGGUCGAGGUACAAUACUGUAAGGAAGCUAUGGGAGGAUGCCCAGCAGAGAAAGCAAGGAUUGAGAUCCACCACGGAGAGCAUCGUAGCCUAUCUCUGGGAUAGGGGCUGGCCGGAGGAGUAUAAGGCCGAGGAAUUCAAAGAUCAAUCUCUUUUCUUUUAUUGGGUAGCCACCAACCACCUUGUGUACCAGAGGCACCUAAAAGGCAGGCAGAGUGGGUAUAGGCAUGAGAAGUCUUUUCUCUUGCUUCUUUCAUAUUAUGCUUGAGUAAGGCAUGGAUAUUCCUUAAUGGUCGAAACUAGUUCAGACAUCUUUAUCUCAUUUCUAUUCAAUGCUGAAGACGAGAAGGCUGCACGCGACGGACCCUAGGGAAAAUCUUGUCCUACUCUUUGAACUAGAAACUCACGCAAUAGACUAAACUAAAGGCUCGACUCUCGAAAGUGGCAUACCGGUGCCGCAAGCUUGGACACCGAAGUGGCAACAGACUCAUAUUCCCUAACCGAUUCCUCUCCUUCAUUGAGCCGCAAUAUUGCACCUCUGAUUCAUGACAUUUGGCCCUUGCCGUAGUCCGUAUGGUCCUCUUCCUCGGAAUAUUCUUUGCGCCUCUCCCCCGUCCUCCGGACUAUCCGUAUUAACCUAGCUUUCGCUCGUCUUGAGCCGUCCUCAGUCGCUUAAUAUGGAUUUCUCAAUUCUUCAAUCGCAUAUUUCAUUGCGCCUCUGCUCAAAUUCCCUAAUGGAUAGUCAUCUGGACCCCUUAUAAUUGGGCCAUAGAUCUUUGCGCCUCUCAUCAAAUCCCCUAAUGGAUAGUCCUUCGGACCUGUCUUAUGGUUAUGGGCUGGUAUCAAUAUUGCUCGAAUUCUUUAUAUAUUGAUUAGGAAAUCAGAAUUCGGACAAAAAAGUCAAAUCUCUCUCUCUCACAAACGGGGAUAAAUAAAGACAGUUGAAAGGCCUUAGGCAAUAAGGCAUUCAACGGCCGAUCUAUAAAAAGAGUCUUCAGUCUCGGAGCCAGCCAGCCGUUCAUUAGUUGGGUCGGUCACUGAGUGAGACCUAGACUUUUUUGACUAUCAUACUCAAAUGAGGCGACGAGUUCUUUCCAUUUAGGCAGUUCAAGAACGGAAAGAAGAUCCGCACCAAGAUCCGAAAGGGGUAAAGCUUCCCCCCAUUCAACCUAUCUUAGCUUUCGGCUAGUCCUGUCCUCCCCUAUUCCCUAUCCUUAUAUUAUCUGGGACUCCCUGUCUUAGAACCUAGCCCGCCACUAGGAGGUAUCGGAUCGAGUUUCAUAAAAAGCAGAAGCAAAACAAGGCGCAAUGCAAUUUGAGAAAGCAAAGAACUAAAAAGAAAGGUCCAGAUGCGUCACAGGUCCUCCGGACUGCGACUGAGGGUGAGACUGGUCCUCCGGACUUGUGAAUAAAGGGUUCAAAGAAGAUUGAAGAACAAAGGGUGCAAAGAAUAUUGCGAGCUCCAGAUGAGUUGAAUCGACCUCUAUCCCUUUCUUCGGAAGCCGCCGUUGGGACGUUCUUUCCCGCGGAAGAUGGUGCUUGACCGAGUGGGCUAAGCUUAUAGCAAGAAUAUCGUUCUCAAAAAUCUAAACGAGGUUGACUCCCGACUUGAUUUUCCCGGUUUGGAUUCAAACUUCCUUUUUGAACACGAGUAAGGUAUUCAGUUCCAUUCGAAUCAGUCGUCCUUCGGUUUUAAAGCAUUAUGUUCAGAAGGCUGAAUGAAAUUUGAGUUUAGUUUAGUCCCGCUUUUUUAGUGGAAUCUUUGCUAUUCAAAUCAGUUCGCAAUAUGCGCCUUAUUCAAUGACAUCGGUUUUUACCGCUCUUUGCGCCUUCGGACGGGAUAAAAGAAAGAGGUCCAGAGGACGUCCUGGAGGCUCCAUAAGACAGGGAUAUUGUGCGUAGGCUCAAUGAAAUUAGAGAGAAGAAGAUUUUCGGUUCAUCUUUAGCGCCUACAUCGCUCUUUGCACCUCACGCAAUGAUCUUUGCUCCUCCCACUCGUUCAGAAAGCCUAUGAAAUCAGGUCAAUCCGGAAGAGAGAGAGCUUCCGAAACAGCACCUAUUAAAAACCUAUAGCCUAGAAAGCAUCUGGGAGUCUUUCUUAUACACGAUUGAAAUGGAGCAGUACCCGAGGGUAGGCUUUCUCUUUCUGACUUUCUAGUUGAUAGGCUUGAUUUUAGUAGGUCUUUAGCCGAAAGAAAAGAGCUUUUCUCAGCCAAACAAAAGGGCAACCCGCAGGGCGAGCGGCUUGGCAACUCUUCCUACCGCUACGUGGGUUACGGAUUGGAUUAGUCCGAGUUCUCCUAGGCUUGAAUCUUAUGGCGUAGAAGGCUAGGCGGCUCCGCUCCGUGGGGCUUUCUGGAGGCAUCAAAAUCGAUCAAUGAAUGAGGCUUUCUUCGAUCAUUCUUUGAGCCUAAGUCUGCGAGAGGAAAAAGAAGGCGCAAAGACAGGUCCUCCGUUUUAGAGUCCUUCGGUUAAUUACGGAUAGUCCUACUUCCAUAUGGAUAGUCCUACGGACUCCGGACGGAUAAAUAGAGGAUCAAGUGCUUUAACCGCUACGCUGGAGCUACGGAGAAAGAAAGGCUCCAUAAGACAGGUCCGAAGGACUAUUAGGGAAUUUUGAUGAGAGAAAGAAGGCAAUAUUCUUUUCUUUGCGCCUGGACCUUUCUUUCAAAAGACUCCAAAUAACCUACGGCAAGGAAGAAGACGGAGAAGGAGGGCCACCAAAGACUCCAACGUCUGCGCCCCAUUAAAGACUUGAGAGAAUACGAAGGUGAGACUUCCUAUGAAAGAAGCUACCUGCCACUUUUCAUACUCAGUCUUAUCAAUAUUCUUUGAACCUCCGCUUCCUCUUUCUCGCAUAUUCACACCUCUCCCUAUCUGGAGUAGGUCUUUGCCGAGAAGUCAUAUAUUAUUUACGGGAUCUCAAGUCCGUAUAAGAAGAUCGCCCGAUAGGAGCAAAGAAUAUUGCCUUCCACUAAAUGCUAAAUCGGAUACUGUCUCCGAAGAUGAAUAACUAGGCUUUUUCGAUUCACCAGGCGCGGAAGCUGAAUUAAGAAGAUAGGAAGUUUAGGCGCGGAUGGUCCUGUCUCCCGAUCGGAUGCUGUCCCUUCUAAAGAAAAAGAUACCCGAAGCUUUUGGUCUUCGUAGAUAGCACCUGACAGAGUUUAGUCAAUUAUCACGGAUGAUCUAAGAGAAGAAGAAAGAGAGAAGAGCUAGUUUCAUUACAACCUUCUUCAACUGCGGAGUCAACCCUAAAAGUGGAUCUGGCAUCAAGCCUAUCCCUUUUUCCGGGAUCAAGUACUACUUCUAGAAAGAUCAAGCCUUUACUAUUAUGAUGUCAAUCUGGUAUCGGAAGAUAGAUCUGAGGCUUCUCCUUCAUUCACUCAUUCAACGGAGAAAGGGAAUAAGUCAAGACCUGACUCAGCUGCAAGGACGACGGAUUCCGAUCUGUCCGAAGGACUAUUCGCUAUUCUAAUACUCCCCGAUCCUACUUUUUCUUAAUAGUUCAUGCGAAAGAGAUUUCGAGUUCUUACUCGGCUGUAGGGAAAGUCUUCCCCGCUACGUGGGCUUUCUCUUAAAGCUCUUCUCGUCUUUUGAUCUCGUGAUUCAAUUUCUGAAUCCAUAGCAAGGAUUUCUCAUAGGACGAAAUCGGGGUAAGAUCUCUUGCUACAGAAAGGGUUCCGACUUCUCCAACUUCUCUGCCCGAUGGUAGGGGGCAGGGGUCUCACGCGCGUGAGGCUUCAGUUCAGUACUGAAUUUCUCAACCUUCCUUGAUAAGUCAAUGAACAAAGGCUGCGGAGGAAGAGGGGACGAGUCAGAUCGGUCUCUUUCUCUUGUUAACGAGAAUUUCGAUUCCUUGCUCACAUAUUAAGCUGCGUAGGAGGCGCAAAGAAUAUUGCUCAGAAAGAAUUAGCUGCCGUGAGUUGCGUGAGAAGACUUGUAAUAGAGUGUCCAGCUGACUAUCCAUUAGAACUUUGCGCCUUCGAUCGAAGAGUCUUUUUUUUGAUGUCCCCAUUUAUUUUGGCGAUCUACAUCGCCUGGUUCGAGGACCCAAGCGGACUUUCUCGCCCAAUGGAAUCGGACCGGCUUCAGUCUACGAAUUCCCUAUGAAAAGCAUAUCUUAACCGGCGCCUCUUAUUUUCCAAUUUUUGUCUAAUGCUCGGUCUUGAAUUAUUAUCAAUAUCAAAAUCUCCGCGGUGAGCAUAAGCAUAAGAAAAAGAGAAGUCCGUGGGAAAGGCAGAGGAUCAAAGUCUCGACCCCUACGUGGGAGAAAGACGAGGCGCCGUGAACUAGGGCAAGGGAUAUUAGGGGAAUCUGAAUUUGCAGAAAGAAAGAUUUCAGACUCCUAAGUCAAUCUUUCUUGACUUGCACUCAUUCAUGAAAGGCAUAUUGAAUUGCGCCGGAGUCCGGAGGACCAUCAAAGAAAGGUCCAGGGGCCGCAGUCCGGAGUCCGCAGGAUUUAUCCGUAGUCCGGAGG
rnacentral:lncRNA from 1 species